AAUGGUCGCAUAUUGUGGAGGACUACCAUUAGCCAUUAAAGUGUUGGGAGGCUUGUUAGCUAAUAAAACCAUGGUUGAAGAGUGGAAAAGAGUAGAUGACAAUAUUCAAAGUCAGAUAGUUCGCAUAGAUGACAAAAGUCAAGAUUCUGUGUACCGAGUAUUGUCUAUGAGCUAUGAAGAUUUGCCAAUGCAGUUAAAGCAUUGCUUCCUCUACCUAGCUCAUUUUCCCGAAGAUUACGAGAUACAAGUGGAGAGAUUGUAUUAUUACUGGGAAGCAGAAGGAAUAAUAACGUCAAGUGGCGAUGGAGAAACCACUAGGAAAAUUGGAGAAGACUACAUAGAGGAGCUAGUAAGGAGAAAUAUGGUUAUUGGAGUAAAAGAGGAUUUGAGUUGCAGAUGGGAGUAUUGUCAAAUGCAUGACAUGAUGAGAGAAGUAUGUUUAAAUAAAGCCAAAGAAGAGAACUUUCUUCAGUUUAUCAAAGUCCCUACUUCUUCCACCUUUACCAUCAAUGCUCAUACUCCUACCAGAUCUCGCAGACUCGUAGUACACGGUGGUGGUAAUGCAUUUGAUAUGCUGGAACGUAAAAACAAUCAAAAAGCUAGAUCUGUUUUGGGGUUUGGACUCGACAGCAACUUUUGGAAGCAGUCAGGUCAAGGAUUCCAAAAUUUACUGUUACUUAGGGUCUUAGAUUUGAGUUUAGAUUAUAAAAGCGACUAUAGAAGAGGGAGAAUACCAUCAAGCAUUGGAAAGCUCAUUCAUUUGAGAUAUUUGAGCUUACACAUGGGUAGUGCAACUCAUGUACCUUCUUCUUUACGAAAUCUAAAGCUUCUAAUCUAUUUGAGUAUUUCCUCCUGGGGACUGGAAAGAGUUCAUCUGCCAAGUAUCUUUAAAGAGAUGGUAGAGUUGAGGUUCCUGCUGCUUCCCCCUUUUAUUGACGAUAAAACAAAGUUGGAAUUGGGUAAUCUAGUGAACCUGGAGUACUUGAUCUGCUUCCGAUCAGAAAACGGUAGCAUCACAGACUUCCUCCGAAUGAAAAAGCUCAGGACUCUCGAGAUAUUUCUCAAAGGCAGGUAUACUUCUGAAACUCUAGCGUCAUCUCUCUGUGAAUUAAGAAACCUGGAGGUGCUUAGGUUGAUCGAUGAGAACCGAUCCGGUGGGGCUUAUGAUGUGGAUUUCGUUUGGAAUUUCAUUCAUCUAAGGCAUUUAGAUCUGGACAUACAUAUGACAAGGCUUCCUGAUCACUCUCGAUUUCCUCCCCACCUUGCAUACAUAUCUCUACGUCACUGUGAAUUGGAGGAGGAUCCAUUGCAGAUUCUGGAAAAGUUGCUUCAUUUAAAGUCGGUUGUAUUAUGUCGAAGGGCUUUCGUGGGGAGGAAGAUGGUGUGUUCAAAUGGUGGAUUCCCUCAAUUAUGUAAUCUAGAAAUACGGUACCUAGACGACUUGGAAGAGUGGAUAGUGGAAGAAGGGUCGAUGCCAUGUCUUCGUACCUUGUCUAUAUACUAUUGUAAAAAGUUGAAGGAGCUACCGGAAGGGCUCAAGUAUAUCACUUCUUUAAAGGAACUGAUAAUCACCGAUAAGAACAAGGAGUGGAAGACGAAACUCGUACCAGGUGGGGAAAGUUACCACAAAGUCCAACACAUUCCCAGUGUUCAAUUAGACUAUCGUGGCGACGAAUAAGGAGAAUACAACCGUCUCAGGUAUAUAUACUUUUGUUUGGUAUAAUGUCAAUAUUGUUCUCCUUGAAGUUUAGUGUGGAAGUCUCAACUAUCUAACCUUUUUAUUAUUCGGUUUUCAGGUGAACCUACUCAGAAUCAGUACCCACUUAUUGAUUCUGUGAUGUGAUAUAUGUCGUUUUUGUUGUAUUGGUGUUUUAAAGUUUAUAUAUCUUGUUUGUGAUAUAUUUCGUUUUUCUGUUUGCAUGCUCAUUCACUGUAAUGCUACGUUUGAAAGACAUUUGUAUGUUGAACCGUAUCUUCUCUUCAAUGUCUCCGUUUUGUGUGCUUAGUUGACUUGUAUGGUCGGACUUGGAGAUAGAGGUCCUUUGAUAGUGAUCGCUGAACAUCAUUCUUAACAUCACUUUAUCAUUUGGUUCAACGAAGGUCGAGAUUGAGGAGUCGAGAGCUUUUACACGAAACGUCUAGUUAAUCCCUUUUUAGAGCAUCUCAAACCCACCCCUAUAUUUGCUUCUAUAUGCUAUAAUAGAGGAAAAUCUACUCCACCCCAUCUCUAUUUCUUCUUCUAAAAUAGAGAUUGCUAUUUUCUCCUAUAUUUAGAGGAAAAACUAGCAUUUCUCUAUAAUAGAGACAUACUUUUUUAUUUACACAAGAAUCCUUUAACUUUUUGUGAUUAUAAUUAAAAUACAUAUUUAUGUAGAAAUACAUGAUUUUUACAUAUAAAGCCUAAUUAUCUUUUGUUUACAUAAUAUUUUUUACAGUUAUAAGUAAAUAAAAUAAAUAAAUAAUAAUAUUAUUUUAUGUGAAAGUCUAAUUUUUAACAAAUAAUACUUAAUUUUAUAUUUAAUACUAAAAUUAUUAAUUAUAGUUUAAUUUCUAAAAAAUCUACAUAAACUUUACAUAUUGAUAACAUAUUUAUUUAAAUAUUAAUUAAUACAACAUAUUAAAACGCCUUAAUAUUAUGGUAAAUUACUUCCAGAUCUCCAUAAUGAUGGUUAGAUAAUGUAUACUUUGUUUUACUAUUUUUUUGUUUAAUGUUUUUUGUAACAAACUGUUUAAAUUAAAUAAUAUUGCAUUUUUAUGAAAAAAAAUCUAAAUGAUAUAAUGAAUGGGUUAAUUUUCAAUAUUUAUAAGUUAAAAGGUGUUAAUUGUAAAAUUUUAAAAGAAUCUCUUAAGAAUAUUUCUUUUUAAAAGAUAAAAUAGAAGAAUACAUUGGAAAGAAAUCCACAUCUAUUAUAGAGUUACUCUAUUAUAAAGGAAAAAAAUAGAAAAAUACAUUGGAGAUGGUCUUACAGAUAUACAACCUUAGGAGUUUAUUGAAACCAAAGCAAACUCAGCACAAUGGGACUCCUUACAGUUGAUACUACAAAGAGAUUAUUGAAUCAAAUGAAAUGAAUGAAUGAAUUUAGGAAAGUUUGUUACAAGAAGUAUAUAUAUACACGGUUAAGUUAUAGGAAACUUAAACCAUGUUGGUUAUCUAGUAAACCGAUAUAGUAUAUUGAUGGUUUAUGAUGAACUCGGUCUGGAUCAUAAUAUCAGAUCACGAGUCUCUACCAAACAAAGAGUCCUUUCGAUCUCUGCAUGUUUGUAUUGACUUUAAGGGGGUGUUAAUGGGACUCGAAGCGAAUCCAAAACGGGUGAUCCGUGCGUUUCAGACAUCAAUCGCCAAACCUCACUUUUCCAGACCGAACCGAACCGAAUCGACCCUGAGUUUUCCAAAUUUUAAGUAACUGCAUAAACCGGUUAAUUCUCAUCGACUCCUGUAAUUCGUCUUUCACUACCAAACCGGACAUAUUGAUGGUUUAAUGAGCUCGGUCAUGAGUCUUUCUGCCAAACAAAGAGUCCUUUCGAUCUCUGCAAAAUUUGUUUUUGACUUAGGGGAAGUCUACUAGUUGAAGCGAAGAAUCCAAAACGCGGUGAUCCGUGCGUUUUCAGACAUCAAUCGCCAAACGUAUGCAUAACUGGGUUAGAGCUUCCUCUUCCGAUUUCACCGGAACUCCUUUUUUUUUUUUUUUUUUUUAAAUAUAUAUAUUAGAUUAAAAUAUCAACCCGAAAAACGGGAACCGGAACAAGACCUCCGGCUAGUCGUCGAAUAAACAGUAAAUCUCACAAAUAGAUUAGGCUUAUCACUAUUACACAAGGAGAGAACAGCAUAAAAACAGCGGGAGGGAAAAAACCUAAGGUUCGGGGAUCCGUUACCGGUUCCCGUCAUCACCAGAAGUCCGCGGCCAACGACGCCGACCAAAUCGAAAUUUAGACGACCACUGCAAAGAUACUUUCUCUCAAACCAGCGCCGACACACAGCUGCUCGAUCCACACGACACUCUCUUUCUCUUACCGACUAUCAAAAAAUGGAAAUCGAAACAGACCAACUAGUUAAGGGGAACCGCCAUCCUCAACAAGUCCGUCUCUCUUGGCAGACCCUGACCAGUACGGAGAUACGGAGAGGUCGUAUUCGACACACUAACCCGAGACUUGAACUUGAUUUAUAGAUAGGGGGAGUGAAGAGAUAACCUGAAGGCUUUCUAGAACCGAAACAGAGACGCUUCGGCCAAAAGAAGCCGUAAAACGGGCUGAGAUGUGGCUGGCUAAAAACACGCUGAGACGAGCACCUGCAAGCCAUUGAUGGACUCCAACUUGCCGAGAAGAUCAAAGACCCACAAGGCACUGGGAUAGCCGGAGACCAAACGUGCCGUCACGGAGAGGAAAAUGAACCUGCAGAGACCACCUGAAGGUCCAACCAUCUCACACGCAUCACCUCUAAAAACUAGAGGAUGAAUCAAAAGGCUAGGCUGAAGCAACAACCGGUGACAGGACGGAGUUGCAGAUACAAAGAAGAACCGGCUCGAGAAACCCAAAACAGAAGGUGCACAGUUCCGAGAAGGGCUCUCUGCUGUUUAAACCGAAGGCUGGAGGAGACAAAGACCGAGGAACACCACCGGAUCUCCGACGCCUGAGCAUAGACAACUCCACGCGUCAAGAGAGCCAAAGGUCUUCACGCGCCAUCGAGGAAACUUGCAUCUGACACCGCCAGAGAAGAGACCACCGCUGCACGUCUAGAAGUCGAGGACCUCCGAGGCACAUCUUGAAAGGGGUUGAGACCGAGUCCAAAGCCGAGACACCAAGGCGACAAACUAACGGAGACAACCGCCUCUCCACACCGACGAAAGGACAGAUCCGAGUCGAGUGAGACUCUUCCAAAGCCCACGCGCCACCAACUCGCGGAAGUAACCGAUGAAGCAAGACAGAUCUGGGAAAAACGCUCAUCGGUACUCACCACCCAAAAUCCGACUCUCCCCUUACCAAAACGCCUUGCUGCCUCAUCUUGACACCGGGGAAGGCCACCAUAGACUAGAUCUGUCACCGAGCUCCAGAUCCAGAGAGCCAGCUUCCGGCAGAGCUCCCUAGGGCUUCGACAUAUCAGCUGCAGGACGUAGAGCGAGGGGAAAGCAAAGAAGAAAAGAGGAAGGGUUAAGAGAGAGCCACCGGCGACGGCGCCGAGGCCACCGUGCCGGAGGGGAGGAGAUGAUUUUUUUUUUGUUUUGUGUCGAGAGAGAAAAAGUAGAGAGAGAGAGUUUUUUUGGAGGGUGAAGUUAGAAUAAGAGUUUUUUUCAUUCAAUUUCCGAGAGAGAAAAAGUAGAGAGAGGAUUUCACCGGAACUCCUCCACAGCCUAGGAGGUAAAUUAGUUACUUCUUCUCCAUUCAAUUUCCGAUUUUAAUUUCAGCUGAUGAUUUUUAUUCUUCAUCAGUGGACAUACAGCUGUCAAUGUCGGAAAAUCCAUGGUCGUGGUGUUCGGCGGCCUCGUCGACAAGAAGUUCCUCAACGACAUCAUUGUCUAUGACAUUGGUAAUAUCAUACUUUAGCCUUAGGAUUAUUGUUUCCUUGCUUCAAGAAAGAUGCUUUCUUUCUUUCUCUAUGAGUUACUGUCUUGGCCUUGCUUUAAGUAUCAUUUGUUCAGCUUUUUUAAUCAUGUGAUAAUUGGUGGUCUUAUUAUGAUUGCUUUUCUUUAUCCUGUCGACUAGAGAACAAACUCUGGUUUGAGCCAGAAUGUACCGGCAGCGUUUCUGAAGGAAAAGUUGGUCCUACACCUCGCGCCUUUCAUGUUGCCAUCACUAUUGAUUGUCAUAUGUUCAUCUUUGGUGGACGCUCUGGUGGCAAGAGGUGCACACUACUAUAUAUUUUCUACCUAUAAGCGUUUAUACAUUCUGUUUUCACCGGAAUAGCUUAUUCCUAUAAAUAAAUCCUAUUUCAGGUUGGGUGACUUCUGGAUUCUAGAUACAGGUAAUUAAUUUAUAUCAGUGUCGCUGAGACCUGCCUGAGAACUUUUAAUACUCUGCUGCUAACAUUUUCUGCAGAUAUAUGGCAGUGGUCUGAGUUAACCAGCUUCGGCGACUUACCUACGCCUCGUGAUUUUUCUGCUGCCGCUGCUAUUGGGAACCAGAAAAUUGUGUUGUGAGUAUUCAGAAAUUUAGACGUUCCAUCAGCUUGUUUCAUGCAUUGGCUUAACCUAUGAUUAUUGGCAGGUGUGGCGGCUGGGAUGGUAAAAAAUGGCUGUCAGAUGUGUAUGUUAUGGACACAAGUAUAUCUCUCGUCUACUUCAGUUUUGUGAUAAAACUUGUUUUAAGUUUAUGAUAAUGUCAGCUUUUCUUGGUAUUUGCUAGUGUCUCUUGAAUGGAUGGAGCUGUCAGUUUCGGGGUCGUUGCCGCCUCCUAGAUGUGGUCAUACAGCCACCAUGGUUGAGAAGCGUUUACUUGUUUUUGGUGGCCGAGGUAAUACCAGAACUAAAAAAAACUGUAGAUUCUUGAUGUUGACUUAUCGCCAUUCCUUUAAUAAGUUAAGGUGUUUGCAUACUAAACCAAUCACCACAACUGAGGAGUGUUCUUGGCGGACUCGCAUUAUGGAUAAAAUUCAAAAUUGAAUGAUUUAUUUGCUAUUUUACUUUUUUUCAUUCAUCAAACAUGUUAAGGAUGCUGAUGUGUUUGGUUUACCCAUUGCUGUUAAUUAAUAACUUUCAUUUAUUAACGAAGUUUCCUGACCGGGUGUACUGAUGGUAUAUGUUCACAAGAAGUUUUGCUUGAGCUGAUAACAAGUAAACUGAGACUAUGGUGUGUGAUAUGGUUAUCUUUGACAGGAGGUGGUGGACCUAUCAUGGGUGAUCUGUGGGCUUUGAAGGGUCUAAUAGAUGAAGGUGCAUCCUUGAUUAAAUUACUUCAAAACUGCAUUGGAUCUUAUUCUGGGUUUACCUUUGUUGUGCAAGAAAGAGCGUGAAACACCUGGAUGGACACAACUCAAGCUUCCUGGCCAAGCACCAUCGUCUCGAUGUGGUCACACUGUCACAUCCGGAGGACAUUAUGUAUGUCUUUUUCAGCUCCUGUUUGUUCUUUUGUGUAAGGAUAGCUUCGCAUGACAUACAUCACUCACAUCAUUAAUUUUAAUGUAUGAAGCUUCUGUUAUUUGGGGGACAUGGAACUGGUGGAUGGCUGAGUCGUUAUGAUGUCUAUUAUAAUGACACUAUAAUUUUGGAUAGAGGUAGGUUCUUGCUCACUCUUCUCAUAAGAUUCUUCUCCUCUGCUAAAGUAUCACUUAAAAAUCCAAAAAUCCACUUCAUUAAUUUACAAUAGUACAUUACUAGUGAGAUGAUAAAAUUGUGAUGUAAAUUAUCCUUUUUCUUGCUGAGCAUUGUCUUCUAUGCGUUGUUGCUAAAUUUCUAUUUUCACAUACUAGUAACUGCUCAGUGGAAGCGCUUACCGAUAAGCAAUGAUGAGCCUCCUCCACCUCGAGCUUACCAUACCAUGACUAGUAUUGGAGCUCGUCAUCUUUUAAUUGGUGGUUUUGAUGGAAAAUCAACCUUCGGUGAUCUUUGGUGGCUGGUUCCUGAAGGUAUCUUACUCUUAUUUGUAUUGAUGUUUUAGUCCAACUUAGCUAUCACUCUGUGUGCACUGUGCACACAUCAUCCGUUAUUAUCGCUAGACUUUCUAAAAAUGGUGUUGGCACAGAUCAUAGGAAAUUAGCGACACUUCAAGCUCUAGAUAGGGACCUGUUUAGCCAUCUUAAAAUGUUAUUAUUCGUUUUUAAAGGAAGAAAUGGAUUUGGAAUUCGAGAUAGGGAUCUAACUCAAAACUUCUACGCUUUCAUCUCAACCUCACGCUCACUAUAUCUGUUCUUUUUCUUUUCUCAGAUGAUCCGAUAGCCAAGAGGUCUUCUGUACCUCAACUUAGAAACCCUCCUGAGACUAAAGAGUCAGAGAGAGAUUUGGAUACGGUAACUGUGGUUCCUGCUCAUCAUCUUAUGUGUUUCUCGCCAAUGCAGUUAAAUUAGCUUUUCAACGUGUUUUAACACCAAGAGUUUGGUCACAGCAGGAAAGAGGACAAGAGGGAUUCACUAUCGUCGACUUGCAAAAGAAAAUGGGAAUCUCUGUUGCAUCAGGGUUACUACGCCGUCAUAUCCCCGAGGAGUCAGAAGAUCAAGAGUUCGUUGAGUUAGGAACCAGAUUGAUUGAGGGAGAUGUAAUUGAUAAUCGAACCUCCAUGAUUCAGGUUAAUUUUUCCUCUUGUCUUUUUCAGGAUGUGUGAUUGUGUUAUUCUUGUACUGAAAAUGCUUCUCAACGAAUAGAUGGCAGCUGAAGCACUUCGUCAACAUUGGAAAGAGUCCACUGCAGAGACUUUGCAAUUAAAAGAGCUUAGUGCCUUGCUUCGAGAUUAUCAGCGACUUGUUACCUGAAAAUACACGUGAGUUCUUACUCAUUCCAACUAUUUCAGACUCAGUUCUUGUUUUAGUUGUUUAUGUAGAUUAUCUUUUAUUUCACUAAAAAUGGUUGUUCUUUGAUUGCGCUUGGAAUGGCAUUAGAAUAACUUAGAUAAAUCUCCUGAGAGUUUAGGAGUGUUAUAUAGAGUUAAUAUGAAUAUCAUUUUUUGUGUCUUGAAUAGCCCUUGAGACUUUUUAAUCCAAGAAUUGCCAAAACUGAUUCAUUUCUUAAUGUUGUGAAGUCCUCACAUAAAAGUUGAUUGUAAAUGCAUCGCUUUGUACCCCUCUGAAAAGUAUUAAAUGUCAUGAAAUCUCACAUCUGCUUCUUCCUUUCCUUCACACAUGUUUGUUUUCAUUUGUUGUGGCGGGUUUCUAUCAGAGCUCAGGGCAGCUUAACAUCUGCUGAUUUUGGAAAGAAGACCUUUACGUUUUAUCAUAUCAAAACUUCUUCCGAGGUACUUCUGCAUACUUUCCUCAUGUUAUUAGCUUUAUUGAACAUUUGACACCAAUCAAUCAAACAUCAGGCUUUCCUCUGACAUGUCAAGUUUUCAUUUUGCUAUUCUCAGUUACGGAUGGAUGACAUCCCCAAGUUGCUGGAAGAAUACAAAACCCUUCUAAUCUGAUUGAGGAGCUCUACCAUAAAACUCACAAGGAGAUAUACUAAAACCCUUCUAAACUCAUCAAGUAGCUGCCAAGAAGAUCACCAAGAUUGCUAUCAGCAUUACCAUUCGCAAACAACAAAGCUAAAAAUUCUCAAAAGAAUCAUAUCUCUGAUAGACAACAAGAUAUGUACAACUUCUUCUUAGUCAAGGACAAAAACAUAUACCCAUAUGUAAGAUUUUCAUUAUUUCUACUUAAAUCCAUAUCUCAGCGUCUGCUCUUUGCUUUAAAGCCAAUGGGAAAGUAAGGAAAAAAGUAGGCAAACUUCACCUCUUAUACUUAGAAAUGGAUUACUACAACAACAACGGUACUCUUGAUAACUUAAACCAUAGAGUUUCUGUCUGCUUAGACCCGUAUUGUCUUUUUUCUCUAUCCCCUAAAACAACUCAAACUCAAGAUGAUCUCCCAUGGCUUUACAUUCAAGAUACCCAUUACUAUUCCCUUUAGGAGAGGUUGCUUCAGUUGCACCAUUGUCAUAUACAUCAGGCAGCUCAGGGGGAAUGGCGCAGCGGAUGAGAGCCCAGUUCAAUCCUUCAAAGAAAGGAUGCCUCUUGAUCUCAGCAGUUCCUUUCUCCCACCCGAGACGGCUCUCCGGAUCCUUCAUCACCAACCUCCUGAUCAAAUCCUUUGCCUGGAAGCUCACAAGAGGGCUAUCAGGAAACUUAAGGUUCUGAAACACAACGUUGGACAAUGUCUCCUCAUUGUCAUAACCUUUAAACGGUGUCUUCCCGUAUAAAAGCUCAUAGAGAAGGACCCCAAAAGUCCACCAGUCUACCGCAGCACCAUGCCCUUCUCCUUUUAUUAUCUCCGGCGCCAAGUACUCGUGCGUUCCUACAAAAGAGUUUGAUCCUGCUUCGGUUGGUUUAGCCACAAGCUGAGGCAAUGAUCUGAACUGUUGGGUCAGAAGAUCAGGCCUUCUCUGUUUUCUUGGUUUCGAGUUUCUAGCUUGCAUUGAUGGGAGCCUAGGGCUGAAACAUGGGAAGCAGGUUCUUCACAGGUUCUUCACCUUCUUUGGAAGUUGAGGAGCUUGAUACAAUAAGCGAAGACGAAGACAAACAGCAGUAUCCACGCGCAGCUACAGCUGGUAAGAAGUCAUGUUCGAACCCGGAUCCAUCUUUGAGCAACUUUUUUAGACCCGUGUCUAGGAGACCAGUGUUCUGCACUAUCGAAUCUUGGUCUCCUACUUGAGAUUUGAUGCUUCCAAACAAUGUCCAGCCCACUGGUCGUUGCCUAGUAAUAUCAUCUCCACCAUAUCACCAACAAUAAACAUUUUCGAAACUACCCUCCCUCUCCCCUCUCCCAAUAAAAAAAACACAAAACUUAAAAAUUAGGUAGCUCUAAAACCCUUCUGAUCAUAACAAAAAGUAAGAUCUAAACACACUUGAUGAUUACGUAAGUUGGUUCGUAAUUUUUUACCAAUCUUUGGUAUAAGGAACUGGAGAAAAGAUUCCAAAUAGACUGAGGAAGAAAGACAUGCAGAUUCCGGAGAUUUGAUAGUUUGGUGUCAAGGCCACAAAGCAUCAAGCUUUGUUAACAUGUAGUAGUAGUAGUACCAGAAGAACUUGACCACAGUACGGCCGUAUCCUAUCAUUGAGUAAAGGAUUAUAGUAUGUAAACUCUAGUUUGUAUGGUGUCAUACUAAUAACUUUGUCUAUAUUACCAAUUUUCCCAAUUUCUUAUUUCUAACAAACUAUAAUGUAUAAAUAUCAAUGAAUAUAUUUUGCAAGUUGAAAAUAAGGGAGAAAUUUUUUUUACCAAAAAGAAUAAUAAGGGAGAACUACAGUGAAUGUUUCGAGUGGGCCUAAAGCAAAUGCAUUAUUGCCUUGCGAAAAAAUCAUUAUCGCCACAGACUAGAAAAAACUCCUAUUUUCUUUUUAUUCAAAAUUAGAACCACAAGAUGGCAGUCGUAGACUGAUAAGAUUGACUUGGAGUCUACUCUUUCAUUGCCACUCAUAUCUUUUCUUCCAAAGAACGUCUCUAAGCAAGUUGAAGAGCUGUUACAUGAAAGGUAAAUCAUGUUCUUGUAUCAUUAUUUGUAUGUUUAACUUGCUUUGAUCUGUCUUUUGGACUCUGUUGUGGUUGAAUCUGAAUUUAAAAACGAAAAUUCGUUAGAUUAUUACAAAUCUUGUUUUACGAAUUUAAAGCAUUUAAUCAUCAAAUCUUGUUAUAAAUUGUUUGAAUAAAAGUAAAGUUCCUCUAACAGGUAUCAUGUUUUAUUAGAUCAACCAAGGAUUAUCAUAACGGUUUUAAAUCUUACUACAAGUUUGUACUUAUGUGUUGAUGAUGGUGGAACAGGAGAAUAGUGAUGGCUGAGGGCGUUGUGUCGUUUGGAGUGGAGAAACUCUGGGAUCUCCUGAGUCGAGAAUCUGAGCGAUUGCAGGGAGUUCAUGAGAAAGUUGAUGAUCUAAAAUGUCAGAUGAGAAUGUUACAGUCGUUGUUGAAAGAUGCAGAUGCGAGGAAACAUGAGAAUGAAGUAGUGAGAAACUUCUUGGAAGAUGUCAAAGACAUUGUUUUUGAUGCUGAAGACAUAAUCGAAUCCUUUCUUUUGAAAGAAUUGAGUGGAAACCAAAAAGGGAUCAAGAGGCGUGUGAAAAGACUUGCUUGUUUCUUAGUGGAUCGCCGAGGUCUUUCUAUGGACAUUGAAGGCAUAAUUAAGAGAAUGUCUAAGGUGGUUGCACAAAUGCAGAGCUUUGGUAUACAGCAUAGCGUCAACAGAUCACCGUCUGUACAAGAGAGGCAAAGGGAGAUCCGACAAACAUAUCCUAAGAGGUCUCAAAAGGAUCUCGUGGGGGUGGAACAGAGUGUUAAGGAACUAGUUGGUCAUUUGGUGGAGAAUGAUAGCAUCCAAGUAGUUUCCAUAUCUGGGAUGGGUGGUAUUGGAAAAACCACUCUUGCAAGACAAGUCUUUCAUCAUGACAUUGUUCGAAGUCAUUUUGAUGGAUACGCGUGGAUCUGCGUUUCGCAAGAUUUUAAGCGGAAGGAUAUUUGGCAAAAGUUAUUGCAAGACCUUAGACCACAUGAUAAGGGCAUCGAACAUAUGAAUGAGAAUACACUCCAGGCUGAGCUCUUUCACUUGUUGGAGACGUCUAAAUAUUUAAUUGUCAUGGAUGAUGUAUGGAAAAAAGAAGAUUGGGAUGCAAUAAAAGACGUUUUCCCCCAAGAAAGAAGAGGUGAGCUCUCUUAUUGUACAUACAUUACUUAAGAACUCCCCAUAACCACAUUUCAUAAAUGCCUUUUGAGUCCCUGAGAUGAAAGGAAAUACAAUUGCAGGUUGGAAGAUGAUUCUUACUUCACGCGAUGAAGGUGUUGGUUUGCAUGCAGACCCAACAUGUUUUCCUUUUAGACCAAAACCACUUACUCCCGAAGAAAGUUGGAAGCUAUGUGAGAGCAUAGCAUUCCCUAGAAAAGAGAUAACGGGUAAUGUUUUUAUAUAAGAAUCAUAUGAAUCCAGAAUCCUUAAGGCCAGUAAUUUCUUACGGCCGGGACAUCUUAUCAAAAAUCUUGUGUAUUAAUUCCUAAAUCCGCAUGACAUAUAUUAUUACAUAUACCUUUGAGAAACAAUAUACCAUCAAUACUAUUAAAACAGAAGACCUUUUUUUGAGGUGCUCUUCUGUUUCAACAAUAUUUUCAGAUCUUUGCCACUGAAAUAUUUAAAACUUAUGAUUUUAAUUAAAUUCUGAAUUUUCUUUUAUUUAUACAACAGAAAAUCUAAUAAUGAAUCAACACGUUAUUAAAGUAAACCGACUUAUUUAAUAUUUUACCAAAAAAAAAAAGUAAACCGACUUACCCAACGAACGUAAACCAACCAACAUACUUAACAAUAAAAUAAAGUGUUAUGCUGGUUCAAUCCAUCGAAGUAUAAAUUAUAAACUACAUGAUUCUAUAUACUUAACACGUCUUUAACUUGAUAUCAAGUAUAUAAACAAACAAUUUACAGCAUUUCAAUUCCUAUAGGAUACCGGUUCAAAUGUUCUAUAGAAAACUAAAUCGACGUUGGUAUGAAUUAAAUCAUCCAAUAUAUCACACUUAAAGAAACGAAUAUAUAAACAAUAAAUAUUAAAUAUAUGAACAAAAUAGGUGUGGGAAUAUUCAUUAAGAACAGUUAAUAUUUUCCUAAUUGAAUGGUCGAUAAGAUAUUUAUAAUAAUCAUAUUUUUCAUAGCAAUCAAUUAAAUGCAUCAGUUUCGGAAUGCUAAAUAACAAUACCUUUCUUUUUAAAAAUAAAAUUAGAAAGAUCUUCCUAACUAAAUAAUUAAGUCGACAGCAAAAAAAAAUUAUACAUGAACAAAAUGACUAAUCCUAUUAGAAAAAAUAAAUGAAUUUAUAAGGGUUUGAGAUUUAAAAAGUGUCGGUUAAAAAAGAGACGGGUUCAAAUACAUGACAGAUUUAUUUAUUGUAAAAUAUUAUUUUUAAAAACAAUUAAUUAUAAACUUUCUGAAUAUUUUUUUUUUAAAUUCACCUUUCGUAUUGAAAUAUAAAUAUUCUAAAAAAAAUUGUUUUAUCAUGUAAUCUAAGAAAUAUGUCAUUACAAAUAUGUUCUUUACAAUUUCAUUUAUGAUAAUAAUGUGAAAUCUUUUUUUUCAAUAAUGUAUUUUUUCCUAUUAUAAAAAAUAUUAAUAAAAUAUUUUAAUAUUUUUAAUAAUAUAGUUAUUUGAAUUCAGAAUUAUUAUUAACAAUAUUAAAAUUAUUAUGAUCUAUAUACAUAUUUUUAUUUUAUAAUAUUAUGUCCGGAAAUUUAACAAAAAAUGAUUAAUCCUUGCGGACUAACAUUUUUAUGUGUAAGCAUUCAGUAAAAAAAAAUUAUUUAGAACUAAAUUACAAACAAUUAAAAAAAUGAUCUAAACGGAUUUGAAAUUUAAAAGGUCAAGAAAAGGUUUAAACAUGAUAAAUUUAUCUAUUUUAAAUUUUAUGACAAAGUGGUAUAGACAUUUUUAGAAGUGGGUGUUCGGACUACCAUUCGGGUUUGGUUCGGGUCUAUUCGGAUUUUGGGUUUUCAGGGUACGAUAUUUAAGCCCCAUUUGGAUUUUUAUAAAUUUUGUUUCGGGUUCGGUUUAGAUCUUUGCGGGUUCGGAUAACCCGUUUAAAUUAUUUUAAAUUUUUUAAAAUUGUAUAUACUUUAAAUUUCUUAAAAUCUAAAAAAUAAAAUAAUAUAUAACAUAAAAUUUUGAGUAAUGUAUGCCAAGAUACCUAAACCUAACAUAAAAAUUGGUUUGCAUUGCUUAUUUGGUUAGGUAAUCAAUAUAUAUUAAGUUGGUGUUUUAAGUAUAGUUUAGCUACAUUAGAUAUUUACUGACUAUUUCUUUAAAUUUUCAAACAUUUUGGACAACUUCAAAAUAUUCUAUACAUUUUGGAAGUUAAAUAUAAAAUAGCUAAUAUAUUCAAGUAUAUAAAUCUAAUUCGGAUAUAUUCGGAUACUCGAAAUAUUUUUGUUCCGGUUCUUUAGAUACCAAAAUUUUAAACAUGUUCACAUAUCUAACAAGUUUCGACUCAGGUUCAGUACUACUUUCUCGUAUCAUAUUCAUUUCAGUUCUUCGGAUUCGAAUUUUUUGCCCAACCCUAAAAUUUUUAAGAAUUUUGACAACAUAAAAUGUUCCAGGCUUCAAAACGUGUCGGUAAAAAAGGAGACGGGUUUAAACAUGACAGAUUUAUCUACAUGAAAUAAUAUUUAUUAAAAUUUUAAUUAUAAACUUUCUGUAUUUUUUAAUUAAAAUCCAUCUUUCUUGUUGAAACGUAAAUAUUAUAUUAAACCUUUUUAUCAUGUAAUAUAUGUCAUUUCGAAUAUUUCUCUUUAGAAUUUCAUUUAUGCGAAUAAUGUGAAAUCUAUUUCUAACCAAUUUAGUUAUACCAUUUUUAUAUUUUUAAUAAUAUAUGUUUUUCCUAUUAUAAAAUUAAAUCUUAAUACUUUUAAUAAUAUAUUUAUUUGCAUUUGAAAUUAUUAUUAAUAAUAUUUCAAUUAUUAUAAUCUAUAUGCGUCUUUCAUUUUAUAAUAUUAUUUUUGAUAAAUAAACAAAAAUGAUCAAUCUUUGUUUACUAACAUUUUUAUACAUAUUUUUUCAGUAAAACAUAUUUUUAUACAGAACUAAAUAGUUAAUUCUAUUAAAAAAAAGGAUCAAAACGGGUCUGAAAUUUAAAACGAAUCGGUCAAAAAUGAGACGAAUCUAAAUAUGAGAAAUUAACCUAUUUGAACUCCCGAAAAAAAGAUUUAUCUAUUUUAACAUUUGUGACUAAGUGACAUAGAUAUUUUCUUGGUUUUUCACGACGUAAAAAUCCUGCGCUUUAAAAGCGCGGGUCAAAAUCUAGUCUAAACUAUUAAAACAGAAGUACAAAAUUAAACUAACCCUUAAACUUACACAAUAUUUACAAUAGAAUGCCACUGCAGUAUUUAAUAAACCUAACAAUAGAUAUUCUUUGUCUUUCAUGUUUUAUUAAUGCAUUUUCCUAAAUUAAUUUUUAACUAAAAACAUGGCAACAAUAAUUUAAGCAAAUCUAAACAAUAAGGAAUAUCAAAACAUGAAUCAGUUGAGACAAUUUUUUUCACGAAAAAGAUGAUUAAUUAGUUUGUACUUUUAUUAUCAUAUCAUGAAUCAGUUGUAAUUUAAAAUCCAAUUUUUAUAUAUAUAUUUAUACUAUAAUGUAAAAAAAAUGACGUAAUAAGUGAAAAAAUCAUUUUAACCACACGAGAUCAACAUAUGAACAAUAAGAAAACAUAUACAAACAUCGUCCAUUUGUUCAAUGAAUAUUAUAUCUUUUUAAUGCUCUUCAUAUACUCAAUAUAAUCAAAAUAUCUAUUUUAAUAUAUCUAUAUUAUUAAAACUGAGGUAAGUAUUAGAAUUUUUUUUUUCAUUCUAAUAACUACAUGCGCUACCUAAUUAAUAAUUAUUAAUUAAUUGACAACAAAUCAUUUAUUUUGUUAGAUUUUUUGCUAUCCAAACUUCAAACUUAAUUCAUUAACUACAAAUCAUUUAUUUUUUUAAAUUCUUUUCUAACCAAACGUACGAAACUUACGAUUAUUUUCUAACUGGAUUAUUCUGUAACCAAAUUUUACAAUAAAACUAAAAAAAUUUAUUUAAAAUGUAUCUACAAACUUUAAAUGUUAUAGAUAUAUUCAUAUAUAUCAUUAUUUUAUUUCACAUGCAAAAUAUAAACUAUAGAUAUUUUUAUAAAGUUAUUUUCAAAAUAUAUAUUAAAUAAUUUGAUGAUUAAUACAAUUCACAAAUAUAAAUUUAAUUAUAAGAAUACAAUAAAUAAAUUUCAAUUUAAUAUUUUCUCAAAAAUGAAAAUAAAAGUGAAAUUUAUUUGGCAUAUAAAAAAAAUUUAGAGACAUAUAUAUCUAUGUUAUUAAAACAUGAUACAUUUAAUUUUUAAAAUAUAAAUUUAUUAAUAUAUAUAUAAACAUAAUAAUUGGUACUCUAAUUUAGAAAUAAAUACAUCAAAAUGGUUACUGUAGUCAAAAAUAUAAAUCGACAAAUAUAUUAUAUAAUAUAUUUUUAAUUUGUUUUGUAUUCUACCAUAAUAUGAGAAAUCAACAAAUUACACACAGUAAAAAUAGUCCAUUUAUCACAAUUACAAAUCGAAUAAAUACCAUAUGAAUGUAUAUAUCUACAACUAUUAUAUUUUGUAUUGUAAAAAAAAUUAUAUUUCUAUUUUGUUAAUUAAACACCCGUGCGGAUGCACGGGUCAAACUCUAGUUUGAUUUAUUUCAUAUGUCAUCACCAAUGUUUUAAAAACCAGAUCGGACAUUGACUCGGCAUUGUACCUGGGUAAACGGUCGGCUCGGUCCAACCCGGUUCAAGCGGCUUUUAAAUUUUAAUCAAAUUUUAAAUUAAAUAACUAUAUAUAUAUAUAUAUAUAUAUGUAUAAUCAAUUUAAUUUUAUAAACCUUUCUAUCAUUGUUAAUAUAAAAAAUCAUAUGAAAAUAAAAUGCAACUUCAAAAAUAAUAUAAAACUAUAGUUAAAGUAAUUUAUUUAGAUAAAUAUUAAAAAAAAUAUGAAUUUUUAUGAAAUCUUUUUUAAAAUUGCAAAUUUUAUUUUUAAACUUGAAUUUGAGAAAAUCUCAUAAUUUCAUAAUUGAAAAAUAUUGUUUAAAAUCAGUUUAAAAUUGCAUUAUUUAAACAUAACUUAACAUUUAAAAGUUUUACGUAAACACAAGUUCAAUUAAAGCUACUUAAUUUUUUAUAAAACUUUAUUGUAAAUAACAUGUUUGGUUUUCUGUUGUGAAAGCAACACUAAGUAUAAAUUGCAUGCACCAUUAAAUAUUGAUUCUGGCAGAGUAACAAACGUUACAGAUACUAAAGUUUUAGCUAGCUCUAUUCAAAUAUGAAAGAAUUUCUAUACCAAAAACGAUGUGUGUUUUUUACUGAGAAAAACAUAAUUUUUUUUACUGAGAAAAACAUAAUUUUCUUGAAUAAAGUAGAAUCUUAAAUAUUGAAAUAUUUAUGUUGAUAGUUCAAAUUUCUUCUUAUAUUAAAUUACAUAUAAAUCUGAUAUUGAUAUAUUUAUAUUAAAGAUAUUGUCUUUUUAUAUUAAAUUUAUUUUUUAGUUAUAUAAAAAGAAAAUCGUUUUUAUUAAAUUACAUGUUUUAUAUUUAUUAAAGAUAUUUCCUUUUUGAUGAUAAAGUGAUUUUGAAACAAAUAUUUAAAUGUUUAUUAAAAUAUUGAUAGUGGUAUUUUAACAAUAAAAUUUAUUUAUUAAGGUUAUCACUGUAAUUAACCAUUCUAAGAAUCAACGUGAGUGCGACACGUAGAAAACUGACUUAUCAUAUACUAUUAUAGAGAUAAAGUACUAUUAUGGAGAUAAAGUACUAUUAUGUUCUACACAACUUUAUAUAAUUUUGCUUAUUUGUCAUAUUUUUAAUGAUUUUGACUGAUGAAUCAUCAAUUUAGAUUUAUACUAUUAUUUAAAAUUUUAUCUUAUUUAGUCAUCAAUUAUUUAUUUAAUCUUAAUUUUAAAAUAGAAUUAAACUAAUAUUUAAAAUUAAUUAAUGUAAUCAAAUAAUAAAAUCUAAAAACUGACAAAAAUUUAUUUUAAAUAAAAUUUAAAUUUAAAAAAAUAUUACUCUAAACAUAGUGCAGAAAAAUACCUAAUACAAACUUCAUAUUGUAAGUGAACAUAAAUGUUCAAGACAAAAAAAAAGUGGUAGUAAUAGCAAAAAGUAUAAAUACAAAGUAAACUAUAAAAGGGGCCAUCAUAAAAACUAACAAUUCUUCAAUAGUUAUAAGUUAGAAAAUAUAUAUAGAUUCUUUUAACUUAUAAAAUUAAUUAUUUAUUAAUGGUAUCAACGUUUUUAACCGAUCUGACUUUUAAGGUGAGAGCUAAUAAAAAAAAUUAAAUCAUUUUGCAAAUAAUAAUAUAGAUAUAUUAUAUUUUAACAUUUAAAAGACACACAUAUUAUUUCGAGGCUCUAAUCUUAUAGUACGGUUUUCAGAAUUAAAUGUUGAUGAAGAACUAGAAGCCAUGGGUAAGAAAAUGGUCACAUAUUGUGGAGGACUACCAUUAGCCGUUAAAGUGCUGGGAGGCUUGUUAGCUAAUAAAAACAUGGUUGAAGAGUGGAAAAGAGUAGAUGACAAUAUUCAAACUCAGAUAGUUCGCAUAGAUGACAACAGUCAAGAUUCGGUUUACCGAGUAUUGUCUAUGAGCUAUGAAGAUUUGCCCAUGCAGUUAAAGCAUUGCUUCCUAUACCUAGCUCAUUUUCCCGAAGAUGACAAGAUACAAGUACGGAUAUUGUAUAAUCUUUGGGAAGCAGAAGGAAUAAUAACGUCAAGUUGCGAUGGAGAAACCACUAGGAAAAUUGGAGAAGAAUACAUAGACGAGCUAGUAAGGAGAAAUAUGGUUAUUGCAGUAAAAGAUGAUUUGAGUUGCAAAUGGAAGUAUUGUCAAAUGCAUGACAUGAUGAGAGAAGUAUGUUUAUAUAAAGCCAAAGAAGAGAACUUUCUUCAGUUUAUCGAAGUACCUACUUCUUCCACCUCUACCAUCAAUGCGCAUACUCCUACCAGAGCUCGCAGACUCGUAGUACACGGUGAUGGUAAUGCAUUUGAUAUGCUGGGACGUAAAAACAAUCAAAAAGCUAGAUCUGUUUUGGGUUUUGGACUCGACAGCAACUUGUGGAAGCAGUCAGGUCAAGGAUUACGAAAUUUACAACUACUUAGGGUCUUAGAUCUGAAUUUACAAACACAUGAUAGCGACUCUAGAGGAGGGAGAAUACCAUCCAGCAUUGGAAAGCUCAUUCAUUUGAGAUAUUUGAGCUUACACAUGGGUCGUGCAACUCAUGUACCUUCUUCUUUACGGAAUCUAAAGCUUCUAAUCUGUUUGAGCAUUUACUCCGAGGGAAGAGUUCAUCUGCCAAGUAUCUUUAAAGAGAUGGUAGAGUUAAGGUCCCUGAUGCUUCCCCGUUAUAUUGACGCUAAAACAAAGUUGGAAUUGGGUAAUCUACUGAACCUAGAGUACUUGGUCGGCUUCCGACUUGAAUACGGUAGCAUCACAGACUUCCUCCGAAUGAAAAAGCUCAGGACUCUCGAGAUAUUUCUCAAAGGCAGGUAUACUUCUGAAAUUCUUGCGUCAUCUCUCUGUGAAUUAACAAACCUGGAGACGCUUAAAUUGAUCAAUGUGAACGGAUACGAUGAGGCUUAUGAUUUGGAUUUCGUUUGGAAUUUCAUUCAUCUAAGGCAUUUAGAGCUGGACAUACAUAUAACAAGGCUUCCUGAUCACUCUCGAUUUCCUCCCCACCUUGCACACAUAUCUCUAUGUGACUGUAAAAUGGAGGAGGAUCCACUGCAGAUUCUGCAAAAGUUGCUUCAUUUAAAGUCGGUUGAAUUAUCAUAUAGUACUUUCGUGGGGAGGAAGAUGGUGUGUUCAAAAGGUGGAUUCCCUCAGUUAUGUAAGCUACAAAUACGGUUCCUGCACAACUUGGAAGAGUGGAUAGUCGAAGAAGGGUCGAUGCCAUGUCUUCGUACCUUGUCUAUUCGGUAUUGUAAGAAGUUGAAGGAGCUACCGGAAGGGCUCAAGUAUAUAACUUAUUUAAAGGAACUGGAUAUCAGACAUAACAACAAGGAGUGGAAGAAGAAACUCGCACCAGGUGGGGAAAGUUAUCACAAAGUCAAACACAUUCCUAGUGUUCAAUUAAACUAUCGUGGCAAUUAAUAAGGAGAAUAAAACUGUCUCAGGUAUAUAUUCUUUUUGGUAUAAUGUCAAUAUUGUUCAUUUUGUUGGUUAUGUAUCCUCCUUGAAGUUUAGUGUGAGUCUCAACUCUCUGUUAUUCGGUUUUCAGGUGAACCUACUCAGGAUCAGUACCCACCACUAUCGAUUGUGUGAUAUGAUAAUAAGUCGUUUUUGUUGUAUGAAGUUUACAUAUCUUGUUUGUGAUAUAUUUCGUUUAUCUGUUUGCAUGCUCAUUCACUGUAAUACUAAGUUUGAAAUAUAUUUUGUAUGUUGAACCAUAUCUUCUUCGAUGUCUCCGUUGUGUGUGCUUAGUUGAUUUUCAUAGUCGGAACUGGAGAUAGAACGAUGGUUUUAUCAUGACAAAACGCAAGAACAACAACACAUAUAAAUUAGAUAUGUUGUAACAACUAUUUAAAAAAUUGAAUGAUGGAAACCCCAAAUUUGUUUAAAGAAAAUGAUGUUGAUAGUGGUUUUUGAAAAAAAAAAAGGGAUUAUGAUGAACAAUAACAAUGAAAACUCAUUGUAAACACGCUUUAGAGAGCCAAACAAAUAAAUCAAUUCUAAGAUUUUUGGUGGAAAGGUAAUUUAAGAGGAGAUGGAAAACGAUAACAGGAAUGAGUCUUUAAAAACACACAUAUAUAUAGAUUGAUAAAGGAUGCUUCAUCUAAGAGUUGUAUUGUUUUGAGAUGGAGACUAUUCGGUGAAAAGAUGCAACGCACCGCAGUUUUGUUUUUUUAUAUCAUUAAAUUCAAUCAAAUAUGACUGUUGGACUUAAAACCUUUUUUCUUUUAAAAAGUGACGAUAUCACCAGUUUUGGUAUGCUAUUAUAUAUAUAAUUUUUUUAUAAUGAAAAUAUACAAUUUUAAAAAUUAAUAAUAUUCAGAUUGUUAUGAAAAUAUACAAUUUAUAUAAUGAACAGACACAAUUUUUCAAACUAAUACAUUUCAGUUUUUUUUUAUGAAACAACACAACCAAAGUAGUUAUUUUGAAAAGACACAACUAUUUCGAUUUUUAGAAAAGAUACAACUUUUCAACAUAAGUAAGAUUCAUAACCUUUGAAAUUAAUCAGGAUUGCUAUUAUUAGUAGAUAAAAUAUUUGAUUUUAUCAUAUAUAUAUAUAUAUUAACAGUGGCGGUUCUACUAAGCUCAAGAAGGUGGCACUUGCCCCCUAUAAAAUCAUUAAAUUCUUUUUAACUUACCCAAAAUUUUGUUACAUACGUUUACUGAAAAUCAUGUUUUAUUUAUAUAGUUGUAUUUACAUAUGAUUUGCCCCCAGUAAAAUUUUGUUCUACAUCCGCCCCUGUAUAUUAAUUAACUUUUAGAAAUCCGACAUUUAUAUUUUUUUGUUACACUAUUUGGUGUAUACAAAAUAUGUUUUAUAGAAUUUAAAAUGUAUUUUUAUAUAUAAUUUUACGAAAUAUUAUCAAAAUAUAUUGAAAUGUUAAGAAAAAAUAGAAAUGAACUUCAUUUGUGAAUAUAAAACAAAUAAUACAAUGUUUAAUGUUUGUACUUUAUGUGUUUAUUAAUUAUAGAAUUUUUACUGCAUAUUGUUAUAAAUAUAUAUAUAUAUUUUAAAAACAUUUGAAAAGACUAAACACACUAUUAUUUCAAGACUCUGAUCUUAUAACGUGUGUUACUAUUUUCAGAAUUUGAUGUUGAUGAGGAACUAGAAGCCAUGGGUAAGGAAAUGGUGGCAUAUUGUGGAGGACUACCAUUAGCCAUUAAAGUGUUGGGAGGCUUGUUAGCUAAUAAAACCAUGGUUGAAGAGUGGAAAAGAGUAGAUGACAAUAUUCAAACUCAGAUAGUUCGCAUAGAUGACAAAAGUCAAGAUUCUGUUUACCGAGUAUUGUCUAUGAGCUAUGAAGAUUUGCCAAUGCAGUUAAAGCAUUGCUUCCUAUACCUAGCUCAUUUUCCCGAAGAUGACAAGAUACAAGUACGGAUAUUGUAUAAUCUUUGGGAAGCAGAAGGAAUAAUAACGUCAAGUUGCGAUGGAGAAACCACUAGGAAAAUUGGAGAAGAAUACAAUAGACGAGCUAGUAAGGAGAAAUAUGGUUAUUGCAGUAAAAGAUGAUUUGAGUUGCAAAUGGAAGUAUUGUCAAAUGCAUGACAUGAUGAGAGAAGUAUGUUUAUAUAAAGCCAAAGAAGAGAACUUUCUUCAGUUUAUCGAAGUCCCUACUUCUUCCAUCUCCACCAUCAAUGCUCAUACUCCUACCAGAUAUCGCAGACUCGUAGUACACGGUGGUGGUAAUGCAUUUGAUAUGCUGGGAAGUAAAAACAAUCAAAAAGCUAGAUCUGUUUUGGGGUUUGGACUCGACAGCAACUUGUGGAAGCAGUCAGCUCAAGGACUCAGAAAUUUACAAUCACUUAGGGUCUUAGAUCUGAGUUUAGAUUAUAAAAACGACUCUAAAGGAGGGAGAAUACCUUCGAGCAUUGGAAAACUCAUUCAUUUGAGAUAUUUGAGCUUAGACAUGGGUUGGGCAACUCAUGUACCUUCUUCUUUACGGAAUCUAAAGCUUCUAAUCUAUUUGAGAAUUUCCUCCUGGGGACUGGAAAGAGUUCAUCUGCCAAGUAUCUUUAACGAGAUGGUACAGUUGAGGGUCCUGAUUCUUCCCCGUUCUUUUGAGGCUAAAACAAAGUUGGAAUUGGGUAAUCUCGUGAACCUGGAGUACCUGAUCGGCUUCCGAUCAGAAUACGGUAGCAUCACAGACUUCCUCCGGAUGAAAAAGCUCAGGACUCUCGAGACCUGGAGAAGCUUACAUUGAUCAAUGAGAACAACAAAUCCGAUGGGGUUUAUGAUUUGGAUUUCGUUUGGAAUUUCAUUAAGCUAAGGCAUUUAGUGAUAUGGAUGCAUAUGCCAAGGCUUCCUGAUCACUCUCGAUUGCCUCCCAACCUUGCACACAUAUCUCUAACUAACUGUGAAAUGGAGGAGGAUCCACUGCAGAUUCUGCAAAAGUUGCUUCAUUUAAAGUCGGUUGAAUUACAUCAAAGAUCUUUCGUGGGGAGGAAGGUGGAUUCCCUCAAUUAUGUAAGCUAGACAUAUGGUACCUAGACGACUGGGAAGAGUGGAUAGUCGAAGAAGGGUCGAUGCCAUGUCUUCGUACCUUGUCUAUUCGGUUCUGUGACAAGUUGAAGGAGCUACCGGAAGGGCUCAAGUAUAUCACUUCUUUAAAGGAACUGGUUAUCACACAUCAGAACAAGGAGUGGAAGACAAAACUCGUACCAGGUGGGGAAAGUUAUUACAAAGUCCAACACAUUCCAAGUGUUCAAUUAAACUAUCUUGGCCACGAAUAAGGAGAACAAAACUGUCUCAGGUAUAUAUUAUUUUUGGUAUAAUGUCAAUAUUGUUCAUUUUGUUUGUUAUAUAUCCUCCUUGGAGUUUUGUGUGAAAGUAUGAACUCUCUGUUAUUCGGUUUUCAGGUGAACCUACUCAGGAUCAGUACCCACCACUACCGAUUGUGUGAUAUGAUAAUAAGUCGUUUUUGUUGUAUUGGUGUAUGAAGUUUACAUAUCUUGUUUGUGAUAUAUUCCGUUUUAUCUAUUUGCAUGCUCAUUCACUGUAAUGCUAAGUUUGAAAUACAUCUGCAUGUUGAACCAUAUCUUCUUCGCUGUCUCCGUUGUGUGUGCCUAGUUGACUUGUAUUGUAUGGUCGGAAAUGGAGAUAGAACGGUGCUUUGAUAGUGAUCACUUAAUACUAUUCUUAACAUGAUUUUAUCAUUUGGUUUAAGGAAUGUCAAGAGCUUUUAAAUGAAACAUCUAGUUAAUCCGUUUUAACAGAUAUAGAACCUUGGAGUUUAUUGAAACCAAAGUCAAGAGUUUCUCACCACAAUGAGACUAUCCUCACAGUUGAUAUCAAUGGCGCAAUCAAAUCAUAUAUACAACACCUUAGAGGAUUCAAGAAAGUCUCUUGGUUCCAUUCCUUCGCGACCUGGUUCGCUUUUUUCACUACUCAAGUGAUCAGCACUUUUGAUUGAAAACUGAUACCACACAGCAUCCACUUGAAACUAAACAUAAAUAUACAACCAAACAGUUACGCAAUGAUAGCUCAACCAGACAGAACCGAACCGAAUCUUAGUUUUGCUUUCCAAAUUUUAAAUAACGGGAUAAACCGGUUGAUUCUCAUCCAGUUCUGUAAUUUGUCUGACACUACUCAAGUGAUCAGCACUUUUGAUUGAAAACUAAUAACACACAGCACCCACUUGAAAGUUGAAACUAAACGCAACUCAAUGAUAAACCGGGAUAAACCGGUUAGUUCUCAUCGAGUUCUGUAAUUUGUCUUUUACUAUCAAACCGGACAAAUUGAUGGUUUAAAAACAAAACUCAGUCUGGAUUAUAAUAAAAUCAGAUCAUGAAACUCUACCAAACAAGAGUCCUUUCGGUCUCUGCAAAUUUGUUUUCGACUCUAAUUGAGAGGAGGAGAAGUCCAGUACUUGAAACGAAUCCAAAAACGCGGUGAUCCGUGCGUUUUCAGACACCAUCGCGACCGUAUGCAUAACUGGGUUAGAGCUUCCUCAUCCGAUUUCACCGGAACUCCUCCACAGCCCAGGAGGUAAAUUAAUUACUUCUUCUCCAUUCAAUUUCCGAUUUUAAUUUCAGCUGAUGAUUUUUAUUCUUCAUCAGUGGACAUACAGCUGUCAAUGUCGGAAAAUCCAUGGUCGUGGUGUUCGGCGGCCUCGUCGACAAGAAGUUCCUCAACGACAUCAUUGUUUAUGACAUUGGUAAUAUCAUACUUCCUUAGGAUUAUUGUUUCCUUGCUUCAAGAAAGAUGCUUUCUUUCUCACGAGUUACGUUCUUGGCUUGCUCUGCUUGUCUCUAGUAGUUUAUUUGAUAGAACGAUGCUUACAUCAAAGAUAGUUACUUUGCAACAAAAAAAAAAAAAAACUAUAGAAAGCUGAAAACUUCAAGAUGAGAUUAUUCGAUUCGGUGUUGUUGAAGAGGAAUCAGAUGGAUACUCUCUUUUCUUAUUUUGCUAGUUUUGUUUCUGAGCUUCUUUUGACCCCUCCUUGGCCUUGUUUUAAGUAUCAUAUAUGUGCAGCUUUUUUGAUCAUGUGAUAAUCGGUUUGUCUUAUGAUUUGCUUCUUCUUUAUCCUGUCGACUAGAGAACAAACUCUGGUUUGAGCCAGAGUGUACUGGCAGCGUUUCUGAAGGAAAAGUUGGCCCUACACCUCGCGCCUUUCAUGUUGCCAUCACUAUUGAUUGCCAUAUGUUCAUCUUUGGUGGACGUUCUGGUGGCAAGAGGUACUCACUACUAUAUAUUUUCUAGUUAGAAGCGUUUUUACAUUUCUACUUUCACCGGAAUAGCUUAUUUCUAGAAAUAAAUCAAUUUCAGAUUGGGUGACUUCUGGGUUCUAGAUACAGGUAAGUGUACAAUCAUAACAAUGUCAGUGACAUUAUGUCACUGAGACCUGCCUGGGAACUUUUUAAUACCCUGCUGCUGACAUUUUCUGCAGAUAUAUGGCAGUGGUCUGAGCUAACCAGCUUUGGCGACUUACCUACACCUCGUGAUUUUUCUGCUGCCGCUGCUAUUGGCAACCAGAAAAUCGUGUUGUGAGUAUCUGAAAUUUUAGACGUUCCAUCAGCUUGUUUCCUGCAUUGGCUUAGCCUAUGAUCAUUGGCAGGUGUGGCGGCUGGGAUGGUAAAAAAUGGCUGUCAGAUGUGUAUGUUAUGGACACAAGUAUAUCUCUCGUCUACUUCAGUUUUGUAAUAAACUGUUUUUAAGUUUCUGAUAAUGUCAGCUUUCUUGGUGUCUGUUAGUGUCUCUUGAAUGGAUGGAGCUGUCGGUUUCGGGGUCGUUGCCGCCUCCUAGAUGUGGCCAUACAGCCACCAUGGUUGAGAAACGUUUACUUGUUUUUGGUGGCCGAGGUAUAACACCAGAACCAGAAUCUUUGUUCUGCUUGAGCUGAUGACAACUAAACUGAGACUAUGGUUAUCUUUGACAGGAGGUGGUGGCCCUAUCAUGGGUGAUCUGUGGGCUUUGAAGGGUCUAAUAGAUGAAGGUUCAUCCUUACCUAAAUUACUUAAAAAUUGCAUUCUUAUGUUCUGUUUGCUAAUCUUAUUGUGGUUUACCUUUGUUGUGCAAGAAAGAACGUGAAACACCUGGAUGGACCCAACUAAAGCUUCCUGGCCAAGCACCAUCAGCUCGAUGUGGUCACACUGUCACAUCCGGAGGACAUUAUGUAUGUCUAUUUCAGCUUCCGUUUGCUCUUUUGUAUAAAUAGGUCGCAUGACAUACAUCACUCACAUCAUUAAUGUUCAUGUAUGAAGCUUCUGUUAUUUGGGGGACAUGGAACUGGUGGAUGGCUGAGUCGUUAUGAUGUCUAUUAUAAUGACACUAUAAUUUUAGACAGAGGUACAUUCUUGCUUAUGAGAUUCGUCUCCUCUGCUAAAGGAGCACUCUAAAUCCAAAAAUCCACCUCAGUAAUUUACAAUCUAGUGAGAUGAUAAAAUUGUGAUGUGCUUUAUCAUUUUUCUUGCUGAGCAUUGUUUUCUACGCGUUGUUGCUAAAUUUAUAUUUUCGCAUACUAGUAACUGCGCAGUGGAAGCGCUUACCAAUAAGCAAUGAUGAACCUCCUCCUCCUCGAGCUUAUCACACCAUGACAAGUAUUGGAGCUCGUCAUCUUUUAAUUGGUGGUUUUGAUGGAAAAUCAACCUUCGGUGAUCUUUGGUGGCUGGUUCCUGAAGGUAUCUUUCUCUUAUUUAUACUGAUGUUUUAGUCCAACUUAGCUAUCAUUCUGUGUACACGCAUCAUCAGUUACUUAUUGUUGGAAACUCUUUAGACGAACUAAUCCUGGUGUUGGUCGCAGAUUGUAGGCAAUUUUAGAGACACUUAAUUUCUAGCAUAAUCUUUUUUUUCUUCUUUAUCAAGUUUGUAUUGAAAGUUUUGAAGUUUUACUGAACUGUUUAGCCUUCUGAAAAUGUUGUUAUUCGUUUUUUUCUUUUUCUCUUUUCUCAGAUGAUCCCAUAGCCAAGAGGUCUUCUGUACCUCAACUUAGAAACCCUCCUGAGACUAAAGAGUCAGAGAGAGAUUUGGAUACGGUAACUGUAGUUCCUGCUCAUCAUCUUAUGUGUUUCUCGCCAAUGCAGUUAAAUUAGCUUUUCAACGUGUUUUUAACACCAAGAGUUUGGUCACAGCAGGAAAGAGGACAAGAGGGAUUCACUAUCGCCGACUUGCAAAAGAAAAUGGGAAUCUCUGUUUCUUCAGGGUUACGCCUUCAAAUACCCGAGGAGUUAGAAGAUCAAGAGUUCGUUGAGUUAGGAACCAGAUUGAUUGAGGGAGAUGCAGUUGAUAAUGGAGCCUCCAUGAUUCAGGUGAGUUUUUCCUCUUGUCUAUUUUAGAAUGUGUGAUUGUGUUAUUCUUGUACUGAAAAUGCUUCUCAACGAAUAGAUGGCAGUUGAAGCACUUCGUCAACAUUGGAAAGAGUCCACUCCAGAGACUUUGCAAUUAAAGGAGCUUGGUUCCUUGCUUCGAGAUUAUCAGCGACUGGUUACCCGAAAAUACACGUGAGUUCUUAUCCAUGCCUAACUAUUUCAGACUCAGUUCUUGUUUAUGUAGAUUAUCUUUUGUUUCACUAAAAAUGGUUGUUCUUUGAUUGCGCUUGGAAUCACCACAUGGCAUUAGAAUAACUUAGAUAAAUCUCCUGAGAGUUUAGGAGUCAUAUAGAGUUAAUAUGAAUAUAUCAUUUUUGUGUCUUGAAUAGCCCUCGAGACUCUUUAAUCCGAGCAUAUUGUCAAAACUGAUAAUGUUGUGAAUGCAUUGUUUUGUGCCCCUACUAUUACAUGUUAUGAAAUCUCACAUCUGCUUCUUCCUUUCCUUGACACAUGUUUCUUUUCAUUUGUUGUGGCGGGUUUCUAUCAGAGCACAGAGCAGCUUAACAUCUGCUGAUUUUGGAAAGAAGACGUUUACGUUUUAUCAUAUCAAAAAUUCUUCCGAGGUAUUACUCUGCAUACUUUCCUCCCUCGCCUGAAUAUUUGACACCAAUCAAUCAAAACAUCAGGCUUUCCUCCUGACAUGUCAAGUUUACAUUUUGCUAUUCUCAGUUGCGGAUGGAUGACAUUCCGGAGUUGCUGGAAGAAUACAAAACCCUUGUAAUCUGAUUGAGGAGCUCUGCCAUGAAACUCACAAGGAGAAUACAAAACUCAUCAAGUAGCUGCCAAGAAGAUCACCAAGAUUGCUAUCAGCAUUACCAUUGCAAACCACAAAGCUAAAAAGUCUCAAGAGAAUCACAUCUCUGAUAGACAACUAUGUACAACUUCUUUUUAGCAAGAACAAAAAGAUACAACGUAUAUGUAAGACUUCCAUUAUCUCAACUUAAAUCCAUAUCUAAGCCUCUGCUCUUUUAUUUCUUGUUUGGGCUUUGAAAAUAGAUUGUUUUGCCUUGAAGCCAAUGCGAAAGUAAGGAAAAAAGUAGGCAAACUUCAUCUAUUAGACUUUGAAAUGGAUUACAACAACAACGGUACUCUUGAUAACUUAAACCACAGAGUUUCUGUCUGCAUAGACCCGUAUUGUCUUUUCUCUAUCCCCUAAAACAACUCGAACUCAAGAUGAUCUCCCAUGGCUUUACAUUCAAGAUAUCCAUUACCAUUUCCUUUAGGAGAAGUUGCUUCCGUUGCACCAUUCUCAUAUACAUCCGGCAGCUCAGGCGGAAUGGCGCAGCGGAUGAGAGCCCAGUUCAAUCCUUCAAAGAAUGGAUGCCUCUUGAUCUCUGCAGCUCCUUUCUCCCACCCGAGGCGGCUCCCCGGAUCCUUCAUCACCAACCUUCUGAUCAAAUCCUUUGCCUGGAAGCUCACAAGAGGGCUAUCAGGAAACUUGAGGUUCUGAAACACAAACGUCUCCUCAUUGUCAUAACCUUUGAACGGUGUCUUCCCGUAUAAAAGCUCAUAGAGAAGAACCCCAAACGUCCACCAGUCUACUGCAGCACCGUGACCUUCUCCUUUAAUGAUCUCCGGCGCCAAGUACUCGUGCGUUCCUACAAAAGAGUUUGAUCUUGCUUCAGUUGGUUCAGCCACAAGCUGAGGCAAUGAUCUGAACUGUUGGGUCAGAAGAUCAGGCCUUCUCUGUUUUCUUGGUUUUGAGUUUCUAGCUUGCGUUGACAAGAGCCUAGGGCUGAAACAUGGGACACGGCACGAUGGACUCUAUCUAAAUCACAGGUUCUUCAUCUUCUUUGGAAGCUGAGGAGCUUGAUACAAUAAGUGAAGACGAAGACAAACAGCAGUAUCCAGGCGAUGUGCACCGCAGCUACAGCUGGUAAGAAGUCAUGUUCGAACCCGGAUCCAUCUUUGAGCAACUGUUUUAGUUCCGUGUCUAGGAGACCAGUGUUCUGCACUAUCGAAUCUUGGUCUCCUACUUGAGAUGUGAUGCUUCCAUACAAUGUCCAGCCACUGGCGUUGCCUAGUAAUUAAUAUCAUCUCCACCAUAUCAAUAUUUGCUGCAUCCCCUCCUCCAUAAGAAACAUAAAACAUAAAAGUUAGGUAGCUCUAAAACACUUCUGAUCAUAACAAAAAGUAAGAUCUAUAACACACUUGAUGAUUACGUAAGUUGGUUCGUAAUUUUUACCAAUCUUUGGGAUGAGGAACUGGAGAAAAGAUUCCAAAUAGACCGAGGAAGAAAGACAUGCAGAUUCCGGAGAUUUGAUAGUUUGGUGUCAAGGCCACAAAGCAUCAAGCUUGGUAACAUGUCGUAGUAGUAGAAGUAGAACCAGAAGAACUUGACCACAGUACGGUCGUAUCCUAUCAUUGAGUAAAGGAUUAUAGUAUGUAAACUCUAGUUUGUAUGGUGUCAUACUACAUGAUCUAAUAACUUUGUCUAUAUUACCAAUUUUCCCAAUUAAUUAUUUCUAACAAAAGUAUAAUGUAUACAUAUCAAUGAAUAUAUAUUUUGAAAGUUGAAAAUAAGGGAGAAAUUUUUUUUUACCAAAAAGAAUAAUAAGGGAGAACUAUAGUGAAUGCUUCGAGUGGGCCUAAGCAAACGCAUUAUUGCCUUGCGAAAAAAUCAUUAUCGCCAGAGACUAGAAAAAAACUCCUAUUUUCUUUUUAAUUCAAAAUUAGAACCACAAGAUGACUGUCAUAGACUGUCGAUACUCUUUCAUUAUUUCUUCUUCCAAAGAACGUCGCUAAGCAAGUUGCAGAUCUGUUACAUGUAAGGUAAAUCACGUUCUUGUAUCAUUAUUUGUCUGUUUAACUUGCUCUGAUCUGUCUUUUGGGCUCUGUGGUGGUUGAAUCUGAAUUUAAAAACAAAAAUUCGUUGCAUUGUUACAAAUCUUGUUUUACGAAUUUAAAGCAUUUAAUCAUCAAUGCUUGAAUAAAAGUAAGUUAAGUAAAGUUCCUCUGACAGGUAUCAUGUUUUAUUAGAUCAACCAAGGAUUAUCAUAACCGGUUUUAAAUCUUACUAUACAAGUUUGUACUCAUAUGUUGACGGUGGAACAGGAGAAUAGCGAUGGCUGAGGGAAUUGUAUCGUUUGGAGUGCAGAGACUCUGGGAGCUCUUGGCUCGAGAAUCUGAGAGACUGCAGGGAGUUCAUGAGAAAGUUGAUGAUCUAAAAUGUCAGAUGAGAAUGUUACAGUCGUUGUUGAAAGAUGCAGAUGCGAGGAAACAUGAGAAUGAAGUAGUGAGAAACUUCUUGGAAGAUGUCAAAGACAUUGUUUUUGAUGCUGAAGAUAUAAUUGAAUCUUUUCUUUUGAAAGAAUCUAGCGGUGACGAAAAAGGGAUCAAGAGGCGUGUGAAAAGACUUUCGUGUUUCUUAGUGGAUCGCCGAGAUAUUUCUAUGGACAUUGAAGGCAUAACUAAGAGAAUGUCUAAGGUUAUUGCCCAAAUGCAGAGCUUUGGAAUACAACAUAACGUCUACAGAUCACCGUCUCUACAAGAGAGGCAAAGGGAGAUCCGACAAACAUAUCCUAAGAGGUCUCAAAAGGAUCUUGUGGGGGUGGAACAGAGUGUUAACGAAUUGGUUGGUCAUUUGGUGGAGAAUGAUAGCAUCCAAGUAGUUUCCAUAUCUGGGAUGGGUGGUAUUGGGAAAACCACUCUUGCGAGACAAGUUUUUCAUCAUGACAUUGUUCGAAGUCAUUUUGAUGGAUUCGCAUGGAUCUGUGUUUCCCAAGAUUUUAAGCGGAAGGAUAUUUGGCAGAAGUUAUUGCAAGACCUUAGACCACAUGAUACGGGCAUUGAACAAAUGAAUGAGGGUACACUCCAGGCUAAGAUCUUUCACUUGUUGGAAACAUCUAAAUAUUUAAUUGUCAUGGAUGAUGUAUGGAAAAACAAAGACUGGGAUAUAAUAAAAGACGUUUUCCCCCAAGAAAGAGGUGAGUUCUCUUAUUGUACAUACAUUACUUAAUACUCCCCAUAGCUAUUUCAUAAAUGCAUUUGAGUCCCUGAGAUGAAAGGAAAUACAAUUGCAGGUUGGAAGAUGAUUCUUACUUCACGUGAUGAAGGUGUUGGUUUCCAUGCAAACCCAACAUGUUUUCCCUUUAGACCAAAAACUCUUACUCAUGAAGAAAGUUGGAAGCUAUGUGAGAGCAUAGCAUUCCCUAGAAAAGAGAUAACGGGUACGUUUUUCUAUAAGAAUCAUAUGAAUCCUUAAGGCCAGAAAUCUCUUACGGGCAGUGUUUUUAAAACCGGAUCGGCUAGCGAACCGAAAUUUUUUUAGAUCAUGGGUCAUUGUGGUUCAACCGGGUCUGAACCGUGUUCGAUCGGGUUUAAUUAGAUUAAACUAAAUUUAAUGAUAUUUUAUAAAUAAUAUGCAUAUUCUUAAAAAAAAAUAGAUCAUAUCAAAUAAAAUGUUUAAAUAGCCAUAAUGUGUAGAAAAACUUAAAAAUAACAAUUAAAAUUUAAAAUCAAUAUGAAAAGCAUAAUUAAACUUUAUUCGCAAAUCUUAUCACUCUAAAUCUUUAUCAUCUUAUAAAAAAAAUUUAUAGUAAAAUUUAUAUUUUGAAAUACAAAUUUCACAAACAUAAAGGUUUCAAUUAUUAGAAGUCUUCAAAACAAGUGAUCAUGAAAUAAAAUUUAAACAAAGUGAGAAGUAGACAAAAACAACAUCUUGACGUAUUAAACUUUGUGAAUCUUGUAAUUUAUGAGUUGUAGAGACGACAAAAGAAAAAGACGAAAGACGAUAUUUUAUUAAUCUUUAAUAAAACUUAUUUUUUAUUUAAAAAAGAAGAAAAAUUAAUUAUUUCAUUAACAAAAUUUUGGCUUAUAUACUAACCGUAGUUUGGCCGAUUCAUUGGAUCGCCGGUUCCUAGGGUUUUGACGGUUUGAUAGGGGUUUUUAACUGGUUCAAAUUUAGUUGGGUUUUAGUAUUAACCCAACCCAGAUUAUUUUCGGUUGAUAGUUCAACCCGGUCUGACCGCCAGUUCGGUCCAAGUUUAAAAACAUUGCUUACAGGACAUCUUAUCAAAAAUCUUGUGUAUUAAUUCCUAAAUCCGCAUGACAUAUAUUAUUAUAUAUACCUUUGAGAAACAAUAUACCAUUUGAUUUAUUUCAUAUGUCAUCACCAAUGUUUUAAAAACCAGAUCAGACAUUGACUCGACAUUGUACAUGGGUAAAUGGUCGGCUCGGUCCAACCCGGUUCAAGCGGCUUUUAAAUUUUAAUCUAAUUUUAAAUUAAGUAACUAUAUAUAUGUAUAAUCAAUUUAAUUAUAUAAACCUUUCUAUCGUUGUUAAUAUAAAAAAUCAUAUGAAAAUAAAAUGCAACUUCAAAAAUAAUAUAAAAUUAUAGUGAAAGUAAUUUAUUUAGUUAAAUAUUAAAAACAAUAUGAUUUUGUUUUGAAAUCUUUUUUAAAAUUGCAAAUUUUAUUUUUAAACUUGAAUUUGAGAAAACCGGAUUUUAAUAUCGAACCAAAUCACCGGUUUUAACGAGUUUGACAAGUUUUUUGAUAAGGUUUACCAGUUUAAUUCAAAUUUGGUUUUAACACAACUAGGAACCGGCUAAAAGAACGAGUCACGGUCCAAACAGACGGUCCGGUUUUCAAAACGUUGGUCAUCACCAUAAUGACUCUUUAAUUUCUUAGAGCAAUAAGUUAUAAUCUAAACAUAUAAUCUAAUUCUCAUUAGACUAACUAUAAAAUUAAUUAUUAAAAUACAAAACAUAUUAAUUAUCCCUUCUUUGCUUAACACGUGUUAUUAUUUUAUUUAUUUAAAGAAAAUAAAUUUACGUUUUAAUAUUAUUAUAUUUAUAUUUUAAAUUCAUCAGUUUAGAAAAGAGUGAAAUCAUAACUUUUUGUAAUUUUGUUUCAUUUGAUUUGGUUAAUUUAUUUUAAUUUCAAUAGAAGAUAAUUAUGUUUUAUAUAAAUAUGAGUUUAUUUAUAUUUUUUUAGUGAUUAUUUAUUUUAAAUAUGUUUUUUAUCCUUUAAGUGUAUAAAUUUUAAUAAAUUUUGAAUUUCUAUUUAAAUGUAUAGCUAAAAUAUGUUAAAAUCGUAAACUAAAUUUGUUAAUUAAUAAAAUAAACUAAUAGAUCCUAAUAAAAUUUGAAACAUUUAAUCAUAAAAAAUUGAUUAGCAUUGCUUUAGUUUUGUAUUUGUUAAUGCACACUUACAAUUUAUUUUAGUAGGAAAACAAUAUAUAUUUAUAGAAAUAUGAUUAAUAAUUUAAAAAUUAAAAUGUAAUUAUAUUUAGUUUAUUUUUUUAUAAAUAUGAUAUAUAUAUUUUUAUUAUAUUUUAAUGAUGAUAUAUGAAUUAUUGAUUAUUAAUGUAUUUAAAGUCCUGUCAAAAUAAAAAUUUACACAAAAAUGUUAACUUUUAAAUAGUGAUAUAAAAAUUAUUAGUUACUACCAUAUUUAAAAUUUCUUACUAAAAAUAUAAAUUUAUAAAAAUUAUUAUUUAUUACCAUAUUUAUAAAUAUUUACAGAAAUAUAUUUUUAUAUAAUAAAAUUUUACAUAUCAAAAAAAAAAAUUGAUCUCAUAUCACUAUUUUCUAAAGACAGGUUAUCUUUUUUUUGUGAGAAUGUAUGUUGUGAUGACAUGUACAAACCACUUUGCGAAAAUGUUUAGGGAUAUUAGAUUUUGAAUGAUAAAUAUUUGAUAAAUUUGACCCAAAAAAAGAUUUGAUAACAAUUUGUGUAUCUUCUAUCAUUUUUAUUUAAUUUUAUAUUAUUAAAGUAAAUUAGACAAUCUCAUUAAUCAUAUAAUAAAAUUAGAUUUUUUGUAUAUGAUAUAUUUUGAUUUUUUAAAUGACUAUAAAUUACUUAAAUUGUUAAAAAAUUGUUGUCAUCAGUGGUUUAAUUUUGUUUGUUAUAACAAGAUACAAAUGAUCAAAAAAUGGGUAUGAAGUCUCAAUUAAUAGAACUUUAGAUUAAAAUAUAUAUAUCUAUUUUAAUACUGUUUGAAUUAAACUAUCUAUAUUUUUUUCUGAACAUUUGAAAAGACUAGAGACAUUAUUUCGAGGCUCUAAUCUUAUAACAUGUGUUACUGUUUUCAGAAUUUAUUGUUGAUGAAGAACUAGAAGCCAUGGGUAAGAAAAUGGUCACACAUUGUGGAGGACUACCAUUAGCCGUUAAAGUGUUGGGAGGCUUGUUAGCUAAUAAAAACAUGGUUGAAGAGUGGAAAAGAGUAGAUGAGAAUAUUCAAACUCAGAUAGUUCGCAUAGAUGACAAAAGUCAAGAUUCUGUUUACCGAGUAUUGUCUAUGAGCUAUGAAGAUUUGCCAAUGCAAUUAAAGCAUUGCUUCCUCUACCUAGCUCAUUUUCCCGAAGAUUACAAGAUACAAGUGAAGAGAUUGUAUUAUUACUGGGAAGCAGAAGGAAUAAUAACGUCAAGUGGCGAUGGAGAAACCACUAGGAAAAUUGGAGAAGACUACAUAGACGAGCUAGUAAGGAGAAAUAUGGUUAUUGGAGUAAAAGAGGAAUUGAGUUGCAGUUGGGAGUAUUGUCAAAUGCAUGACAUGAUGAGAGAAGUAUGUUUAUAUAAAGCCAAAGAAGAGAACUUUCUUCAGUUUAUCAAAGUCCCUACUACUUCCACCUCCACCAUCAAUGCUCAUACUCCUACCGGAUCUCGAAGACUCGCAGUACACGGUGGUGGUAAUGCAUUUGAUAUGCUGGGAAGUAAAAACAAUCAAAAAGCUAGAUCUGUUUUGGGGUUUGGACUCGACAGCAACUUGUGGAAGCAGUCAGCUCAAGGACUCAGAAAUUUACAAUUACUUAGGGUCUUAGAUCUGAGUUUAGAUUAUAAAAACGACUCUAAAGGAGGGAGAAUACCUUCGAGCAUUGGAAAACUCAUUCAUUUGAGAUAUUUGAGCUUAGCCAUAGGUUGGGCAACUCAUGUACCUUCUUCUUUACGGAAUCUAAAGCUUCUAAUCUAUUUGAAACUUAAGUCCUACGGAAGUGUUCAUCUGCCAAGUAUCUUUAACGAGAUGGUAGAGUUGAGGUUCCUGCUGCUUCCCUUUUUGGUUGACGAUAAAACAAAGUUGGAAUUGGGUAAUCUAGUGAACCUGGAGUACUUGAGCGGCUUCCGAUCAGAAAACGGUAGCAUCACAGACUUACUCCGAAUGAAAAAGCUCAGGAUUCUCCACAUAAAACUCAAAGGCAGGUAUACUUCUGAAACUCUAGCUUCAUCUCUCUGUGAAUUAAGAAACCUGGAGGAGCUUAGCUUGAUCGAUGAGAAGCUUAGCUUGAUCGAUGAGAAGCUUAGAUUGAUCGAAGAGAACAACGAAUCCGAUGGGGCUUAUGAUGUGGAUUUCGUUUGGAAUUUCAUUCAUCUAAGGCGUUUAGCGCUGGGCAUACAUGUGACAAGGCUUCCUGAUCACUCUCGAUUUCCUCCCAACCUUGCACACAUAUUUCUAAGUGACUGUAAAAUGGAGGAGGAUCCACUGCAGAUUCUGCAAAAGUUGCUUCAUUUAAAGUCGGUUGUAUUACAUCUAAGGUCUUUCGUGGGGAGGAAGAUGGUGUGUUCAAAAGGUGGGUUCCCUCAAUUAUGUAAGCUAGAAAUAUGGAACCUAUACGACUUGGAAGAGUGGAUAGUCGAAGAAGGAUCGAUGCCAUGUCUUCGUACCUUGUCUUUAUGGAAUUGUAAAAAGUUGAAGGAGCUACCGGAAGGGCUCAAGUAUAUCACUUCUUUAAAGGAGCUGGAAAUCACACACGAGAACAAGGAGUGGAAGACGAAACUCGUACCAGGUGGGGGAAGUUACCACAAAGUCCAACACAUUCCCAGUGUUCAAUUACACUAUCGUGGCAACGAAUAAGGAGAAUAAAACCGUCUCAGGUAUAUAUUUUUUUGUGUAUAAUGUCAAAAUUGUUCAUUUUGUUGGGUAUAUAUCCUUCUUGAAGUUUAGUGUGAAAAUCUCAACUAUCUGUUAUUCGGUUUUCAGGUGAACCUACUCAGGAUCAGUACCCACCACUAUCGAUUGUGUGAUAUGAUAAUAAGUCGUUUUUGUUGUAUGAAGUUUACAUAUCUUGUUUGUGAUAUAUUCCGUUUAUCUAUUUGCAUGUUCAUUCACUGUAAUGCUAAGUUUGGAAAUACAUUUGUAUGUUGAACCAUAUCUUAUUCGAUGUUCUCCGUUGUGUGUGCUUAGUUGACUUGUAUAGUUACCGAACCGAACCUGAGUUUUCCAAAUUUGUCUUUUACUACCAAACCGGACAAUAUUGAUGGUUUAAAAACAAAACUCGGUCUGGAUUAUAAUAAAAUCAGAUCAUGAGAGACUACCAAACAAGAGAGUUCUUUCGAUCUCUGCAAAUUUGUUUUUGACUCUAAUUGAGAGGAGAAGAAGUGUACUAGUUGAAGCGAAUCCAAAACGCUGUGAUCCGUGCGUUUUCAGACAUCAAUCGCCAAACGUAUGCAUCAUUGGGUUAGAGCUUCCUCUUCCGAUUUCACCGGAACUCCUCCACAGCCUAGGAGGUAAAUUAAUUACUUCUUCUCCAUUCAAUUUUCGAUUUUAAUUUCAGCUGAUUAUUUUUAUUGUUCAUCAGUGGACAUACAGCUGUCAAUGUCGGAAAAUCCAUGGUCGUGGUGUUCGGCGGUCUCGUCGACAAAAAGUUCCUCAACGACAUCAUUGUUUAUGACAUUGGUAAUAUCAUACUUUAGGUAGAAAGAUGCUUUCUUUCUCACGAGUUACGUUCUUGGCUUGCUCUGCUUGUAAUGACUAUUGUCUCUAGUAGUUUAUUUGAUAGAACGAUGCUUACAUCAAAGAUAGUUACUUUGCCAAAAAAAAAAAAAACUAUAGAAAGCUGAAAACUUCAAGAUGAGAUUAUUCGAUUCAGUGUUGUUGAAGAGGAAUCAGAUGGAUACUCUCUUUUCUUAUUUUGCUAGUUUUGUUUCUGAGCUUCUUUUGUCCCCUCCUUGGCCUUGUUUUAAGUAUCAUAUGUUCAGCUUUUUUAAUCAUGUGAUAAUUGGUGGUCUUAUGAUUUGCUUCUUCUUUAAUCCUGUCGACUAGAAAACAAACUCUGGUUUGAGCCAGAAUGUACUGGCAGCGUUUCUGAAGGAAAAGUUGGCCCUACACCUCGCGCGUUUCAUGUUGCCAUCACUAUUGAUUGCCAUAUGUUCAUCUUUGGUGGACGUUCUGGUGGCAAGAGGUACGCACUUCUAUAUAUUUUCUAGUUAUAAGCGUUUUUACAUAAGAGCUCAUUUCUAUAAAUCAAUUACAGGUUGGGUGACUUCUGGGUUCUAGAUACUGGUAAGUGUGCCUCGGAGUUUUAAUUUCUCUGCUUUGGCACUUCUAUGAGACACCUAUUAAUGACAUUUUCUGCAGAUAUAUGGCAGUGGUCUGAGCUAACCAGCUUUGGCGACUUACCUACGCCUCGUGAUUUUUCUGCUGCCGCUGCUAUUGGCAACCAGAAAAUCGUGUUGUGAGUAUCAUAAAUUUUAGACGUUCCAUCAGGUUGUUGCAUGCAUUGGCUUAGCCUAUGAUCAUUGGCAGGUGUGGCGGCUGGGAUGGUAAAAAAUGGCUGUCAGAUGUGUAUGUUAUGGACACAAGUAAAACUUUAUCUCUCUCCUCUACUUCAGUUUUGUACUAGACUGAUUUUAGUAUCUGAUAAUGUCAGCUUUCUUGGUAUCUGUUAGUGUCCCUUGAAUGGAUGGAGCUGUCGGUUUCGGGGUCGUUGCCACCUCCUAGAUGUGGUCAUACAGCCACCAUGGUUGAGAAACGUUUACUUGUUUUUGGUGGCCGAGGUAUAACACCUUGAACCUAAACUUUGUAGCUUCUUGCUCUUGACUUAUCACCAUUCUCUUAAAAAAGUUAAGGUGUUUGCAUAUUAAACCAACUUGGCGGACUCAUAUGAUAGAUAAAAGUAAAAGACCGAAAAUUUAUUUACUGUUCCACCUUUUCAUUCAUCAAACAUGUUAAGGAUGCUGAUGUGUUUGGUUCCACGAAUUACACAUCCAAAUUCAAUAUAAGUCCAUAAAAUGCAAAUAAAGAAAACAAACAAAUUAGAGGAGGGGGGGAACUUGAGUGAAAUAUGAAUCAAAUAUUAAUAAAUAGCAAUUUAUGCAUCGUUGUAAGUUAAUAACUUCCAGUCAUUAAUGAAUUGUCCUGAACGGGAUGGUAUAUGUAAUGUAGAAACCCUCUUCCAAUCUUAAGGAUUCAUACUUUUAAGCAAAUCCACUAGUUUGAUAGUUCUUUGGUUCUGACAUCUGAGGUAUAGGUCAUGAUCACAAUUAUUUUUUGCUUGAUCUGAUAACAACUAAGCUAAAACUAUGGUGUGUGAUAUGUUUAUCUUUGACAGGAGGCGGUGGCCCUAUCAUGGGUGAUCUGUGGGCUUUGAAGGGUUUAAUAGAUGAAGGUACAUCCUUAAUUAAAUUACUUCAAAAUUGCAUUAUAUGUAAUGUUCUGGUUGCUGAUCUUAUUGUGGUUAACCUUUGUUGUGGAAGAAAGAACGUGAAACACCUGGAUGGACGCAACUAAAGCUUCCUGGCCAAGCAUCAUCAGCUCGAUGUGGUCACACUGUCACAUCCGGAGGACAUUAUGUAUGUCUUUUUCAGCUCCUGUUUGUUCUUUUGUGUAAGGAUAGCUUCGCAUGACAUACAUCACUCACAUCAUUAAUUUUCAUGUAUGCAGCUUCUGUUAUUUGGGGGACAUGGAACUGGUGGAUGGCUGAGUCGUUAUGAUGUCUAUUAUAAUGACACUAUAAUUUUAGACAGAGGUAAAUUCUUGCUUAUGAGAUUCGUCUCCUCUGCUAAAGGAGCACUCUAAAUCCAAAAAUCCACCUCAGUAAUUUACAAUCUAGUGAGAUGAUAAAAUUGUGAUGUGCUUUAUCAUUUUUCUUGCUGAGCAUUGCUGUCUACGCGUUGUUGCUAAAUUUAUAUUUUCACAUACUAGUAACUGCACAGUGGAAGCGCUUACCAAUAAACAAUGAUGAACCUCCUCCUCCUCGAGCUUACCAUACCAUGACAAGUAUUGGAGCUCGUCAUCUUUUAAUUGGUGGUUUUGAUGGAAAAUCAACCUUCGGUGAUCUUUGGUGGCUAGUUCCUGAAGGUAUCUUACUCUUAUUUGUACUGAAUGUUUCUUAUCGUUGGAAAGUCUUUAGACGAACUAAUCUUGGUGUUGAUCACAGUUUGUAUUAAAAGUUUUGAAGGUUUACACAUCUGAUUGAAUUUAGUAUACUGUUUAGCCUUCUAAAAAUUAAAGAGAAAAAUGGACGUGGAACUCUAGAUAGGGAUCUCACUCAAUACUUGUGGGCUUCAAAUACCCGAGGAGUCAGAAGAUGAAGAGUUCGUUGAGUUAGGAACCAGAUUGAUUGAAGGAGAUGUAAUUGAUAAUCGAGCCUCCAUGAUGCAGGUUAAUUUUUCCUCUUGUCUUUUUCAGGAUGUGUGAUUGUGUUAUUCUUGUACUGAAAAUGCUUCUCAACGAAUAGAUGGCAGCUGAAGCACUUCGUCAACAUUGGAAAGAGUCCACUCCUGAGACUUUGCAGUUAAAAGAGCUUAAUGCCUUGCUUCGAGAUUAUCAGCGACUUGUUUCCCGAAAAUACACGUGAGUUCUUACAUUAUCUUGUUUAUGUAGAUUAUCUUUUAUUUCAAUAAAAAUGGUUGUUCUUUGAUUGCGCUUGGAAUGGCAUUAGAAUAACUUAGAUAAAUCUCCUGAGAGUUUAGGAGUGUUAUAUAGAGUUAAUAUCAAUAUCAUUUUUUGUGUCUUGAAUAGCCCUUGAGACUUUUUAAUCCAAGAAUUGCCAAAACUGAUUCAUUUCUUAAUGUUGUGCAGUCCUCACAUAAAAGUUGAUUGUAAAUGCAUCGCUUUGUACCCCUUUGAAAAGUAUUAAACAUCAUGAAAUUUCACAUUUGAUUCUUCCUUUCCGUCACACAUGUUUGUUUUCGUUGUUGUGGCGUGAGUCUCAGAGCACAGAGCAGCUUAACAUCUACUGAUUUUGGCCUCCCCGGAAAGCAGACGUUUACGUUUUAUCAUAUCAAAACUUCUUCCGAGGUAAUACCACAUACUUUCCUCCUGUUAUGAGCUCUCUUGAACAUUUGACAGCAAUCAAUCAACACAUCAGGCUCUUGGCACAUGCUCUGACAUGUCAAUUUAACAUUUUGUUAUUCUCAGUUACGGAUGGAUGACAUCCCGAAGUUGCUGGAAGAAUACAAAACCCUUGUAAUCUGAUUGAGGAGCUCUGCCAUGAAACUCACAAGGAGAAUACAAAACUCAUGAAGUAGCUGCCAAGAAGAUCACCAAUAUUGCUAUCAGCACUACCAUUGCAAACAACAAAACUAAAAAAAGUCUCAACAGAAUCAUAUAUCUGAUAGACAACAAGACAUGUACAACUUCUUUUUAGUCAAGAACAAAAACAUGUACCCAUAUGUAAGAUUUUCCAUUAUCUCCACUUAAUCCGUAUCUCAGCGUCUGCUCUUUUUUUUUCUUGUUUAGCCUCUUGCAUUUUACUUUGAAAAUAGAUUGAUUUGCCUUGAAGCUAAUGUUCGAACCCCGAUCCAUCUUUGAGCAACUGUUUUAGUUCCGUGUCUAGGAGACCAGUGUUCUGCACUAUCGCAUCUUGGUCUCCUACUUGAGAUGUGAUGCUUCCAUACAAUGUCCAGCCACUGGCGUUGCCUAGUAAUUAAUAUCAUCUCCACCAUAUCACUAUUUGCUGCAUCCCCUCCUCCAUAAGAAACAUAAAACAUAAAAGUUAGGUAGCUCUAAAACAUUUCUGAUCAUAACAAAAAGUAAGAUCUAAACCACACUUGAUGAUUACGUAAGUUGGUUCGUAAUUUUUACCAAUCUUUGGUAUGAGGAACUGGAGAAAAGAUUCCAAAUAGACUGAGGAAGAAAGACAUGCAGAUUCCGGAGAUUUGAUAGGUUGGUGUCAAGGCCACAAAGCAUCAAGCUUUGUUAACAUGUAGUAGUAGUAGAACCAGAAGAACUUGACCACAGUACGGCCGUAUCCUAUCAUUGAGUAAAGGAUUAUAGUAUGUAAACUCUAGUUUGUAUGGUGUCAUACUACAUGAUCUAAUAACUUUGUCUAUAUUACCAAUUUUCCCAAUUAAUUAUUUCUAACGAAAAUAUAAUGUAAAUAUCAAUGAAUAUAUUUUGAAAGUUGAAAAUGAGGAAGAAAAUUUUUUUUACCAAAAAGAAUAAUAAGGGAGAAGUAUAGUGAAUGUUUCGAGUGGGGCCUAAAGCAAAUGCAUUAUUGCCUUGCGAAAAAAUCAUUAUCGCCAGAGACUAGAAAAAAACUCCUAUUUUCUUUUCUAAUUCAAAAUUAGAACCACAAGAUGACUGUCAUAGACUGUCGAUACUCUUUCAUUAUUUCUUCUUCCAAAGAACGUCGCUAAGCAAGUUGCAGAUCUGUUACAUGUAAGGUAAAUCACGUUCUUGUAUCAUUAUUUGUCUGUUUAACUUGCUCUGAAUCUGAAUUUAAAAACAAAAAUUCGUUGCAUUGUUACAAAUCUUGUUUUACGAAUUUAAAGCAUUUAAUCAUCAAUGCUUGAAUAAAAGUAAGUUAAGUAAAGUUCCUCUGACAGGUAUCAUGUUUUAUUAGAUCAACCAAGGAUUAUCAUAACCGGUUUUAAAUCUUACUAUACAAGUUUGUACUCAUAUGUUGACGGUGGAACAGGAGAAUAGCGAUGGCUGAGGGAAUUGUAUCGUUUGGAGUGCAGAGACUCUGGGAGCUCUUGGCUCGAGAAUCUGAGAGACUGCAGGGAGUUCAUGAGAAAGUUGAUGAUCUAAAAUGUCAGAUGAGAAUGUUACAGUCGUUGUUGAAAGAUGCAGAUGCCAAGAAACAUGGGAGUGAAGUAGUGAGAAACUUCUUGGAAGAUGUCAAAGACAUUGUUUUUGAUGCUGAAGAUAUAAUUGAAUCCUUUCUUUUGAAAGAAUUGAGUGGAAACCAAAAAGGGAUCAAGAGGCAUCUGAAAAGACUUUCUUGUUUCUUAGUGGAUCGCCGAAAUAUUUCUAUGGACAUUGAAGGCAUAACUAAGAGAAUGUCCAAGCUUGUCGAGCAAAUGCAGAGCUUUGGAAUACAACAGAUCGUCUACAGAUCACCGUCUCUACAAGAGAGACAGAGGGAAAUCCAACAAACAUAUCCUGAGAAAUCUCAAAAGGAUCUUGUGGCCGUGGAACAGAGUGUUAAGGAACUGGUUGGUCAGUUGGUGGAGAAUGAUCGCAUCCAAGUAGUUUCCAUAUCCGGGAUGGGUGGUAUUGGAAAAACCACUCUUGCGAGACAAGUCUUUCAUCAUGACAUUGUUCGAAGUCAUUUUGAUGGAUUCGCAUGGGUCUGCGUUUCUCAAUAUUUUAAGAAGAAGGAUAUUUGGCAAAAGUUAUUGCAAGAGCUUAGACCACAUGAUACGAGCAUCGCACAAAUGAGUGAGGGUACACUCCAUGCUGAGAUCUUUCACUUGUUGGAAAGAUCUAAAUACUUAAUUGUCAUGGAUGAUGUAUGGAAAAACGAAGACUGGGAUGUAAUAAAACAUGUUUUUCCCCAAGAAAGAGGUGAGCUCUCUAAUUGUACAUACAUUACUUAAGUACUCCCCAUAGCUAUUUCAUAAAUGCCUUUUGAAAUACAAUUGCAGGUUGGAAGAUGAUUCUUACUUCACGCGAUGAAGGUGUUGGUUUCCAUGCAGAUCCAACAUGUUUUCCCUUUAGACCAAAAAUCCUUACUCCUGAAGAAAGUUGGAUGCUAUGUGAGAGCAUAGCAUUCCCUAGAAGAGAGAUAACGGGUACGUCCAUUUGUCCAUGUUUAUAACCGAGUCCAUUAAAGACCCUUUUUGUGUGUGGACAAACAUUGAUCAUGUUAUUAAGAACCGAGUCCAUUAAAGACCAAACCUAUUAACAUCAGUGUUAACAUGACUUAUCCAUGGAAUCCAUUAGAGACCAUAUAAGUAAACCUACUACAAAAGACAAACCUACAAUAUAUAAGUUCUGAAUUUCAAAUCUAUUAAAGACCACAGCUUCAUAAGUAGGAUACAUAACAUAAAAAAUACUUGUAAAUUCACAUAUUGUAGUUUUAGUUUUAAUUUUAAUUUACGUAUUAAUGUUAACUAGAUUUUUGACAAAAAUUAUAACUUUAUACAUAUUUCAUAUGUUUUUAAGUUUUGUGCAUAAUUUAUAUUUAAUUUGUGUAUCUAAUUUAUUUUUAUGUUAGUAACUAACAUCUAAUAUAAGAUGAACUUAUAAUAUUUUAUUUUAAUGUACAUUAAUUUAUAAUCAUUUACAUUUUACAGAAUUACAUACAUUCAUAUAUAGAGUUUAUUAGUUUUUUUUUAUAAAAAUUAUAUGAAUACUAUUAUAUGAUAAUGAAAAUAUAAUUAUCUGUUUAUUUUUCCCAAGUUUUAAUUUAUGUUUCUAUAAUUUAACACUAAAACGAAGUAAUCACAUAUAUCAUAUUAGUUAAAAUUUGUUUAAUAUUCUUAUAAUACUUUAUGAUUUUAUAUGUAUGUUACAACAAAAAAAUGAUUUUAUAUGUUUACUCAACCAUCUCAUACUAAAUAACCUUUGUAUAUUGAUAAAAUAAUCCGUAAAAAUUACACAUAAAUAUAUGAACCAUAACCCAAUAUUUAUAUAAGUAGGUUUAGUGCUGGUUUUUAGAAUUAACGCAGAAUAUUCUUUAUAGAUUUCAAUCGUGUAAAAUUACGAAAUUUAGAAUAUUUUGAGGAUGCCAGAAUUAUCAAAAUUUAAAAUAUUAAGAUUGAUAUCAUUGAUGUCAAAAAUAUACCAUUUAGCUAGGUCUAAAUUUUUUAUAAGAAAUUGCAUUCAAAGUUUUUGUUUUCAAACGUAAAUAUCUAAGUUUUGAAAUAUUUAAGUCAUUUUCAUUUGAAUGAGUAAAUUUUGACCUACUAAGAUUUAUAAAUGUGAUUUUCUAGAUUGUAAGUUAUUUAGUAAAUAUUAAAAAUACAAAAAAUAUAUUCUCAAAACUGUUAAAGUUUUGUUAUGCUUCCAUAAUUUCAGCUUAUCAAAUAUCUAAUCUAUUAAAAGAAAAGUACCAUUUUUAUCUACUACAAAAUUGUCAUACUAGAAGUCUAGUUCCAUAUAUUUUAUUGUUUACUUAAUGUAUAACAUUUCUAAAUAAUUAUAAGGAUAUUAAUAACAAAUCUAUUUUAACUAUAAAUUUAAAUUUUAGUUUUAGGAAUAACAAAAUCUGUAGAGAAAAAAUCUAACAAAAUCUUUUUAAAAUUUUAAAUAUUAUUUUAAUUAAUGCACUGAUUAAUUUCGUAAUUAGUAGUAUAAUAUUAUUAUAAAUUAAUUUUAAUCAAAAUUUUAUUAUAAACAAAAUAAUGAAAUUAUAUGCUAAUUUUAUAAUUUUUAUUAGUAUAUUCUACAUUAUAUUAAAAUAGAAUUAAUUAAUGAAUUACAUAUUAACAUUAUGUUUUUGUACAAACAUAUUAAAAUUAUGUUGAAUUGGUAAACCAAUAUAUUUUGAAAAAUACUUUCAUUAGAUAAAUAAAUAAAAUGUCAUUCACGCUUAAAGUGACUAAAAUAUCAUUCACAUUUUAAAAUGAUUAAUAUUUAUAAAUUAUGUAAUAAUUUUUACAAAAAUUAAAAUUGUUAACAUAUGUUAAAUUUUAAUAUUUAGAACUAUAUAUCAUCUAUUAAGUUAUUUUUAAAAUGACAGCAAUAUAUUAUCAUAAAUGAUUAUAUACAAAAUAAUAUAAAAUUUUAUAUUUAUAAAUGAAAUGUUACCCACACGGGUGUGCGGGUUACAAUCUAGUUUGAAUUAUAGCAAAUAACUAUGUAUAUGAACAAUACCAAUAAAUUUGAAUGUUAUAAAUUAAAAUAGGUUUGCUAGUAGGCAAUUGAGAAUUUGAACAAAUUCCAUAUUUAUACUAAAAUCUUUUAUGUAGUUUGGAAAAUCAUAAUAAUACUAAAUAUAAUAGUCUUCUGAAUGAUUUAUCAAGUAUAUUCAAUAUUAUAUACUACAAAUAUGUAUAGUUUUACAUCAUGUAUUUUAUAAUUUUAGAAUAAUAUAAAUAUUCUUCUUUGUUAAGUUAGAUGAAUCAUGGGAGGAUGUUUAGCAAUUAAGUAGGAAACUAGAUUAAGAUCCACGCAAAUGAAUAUUAUAUAUAAAAAUAAAUUUUAUUUAUUAUUAUUUAUUUGUAUUCAUUUAUGUAUUAUGUACAUAAUUAAAUUAGAGUAAAUACAUAAAUCAAAACAUUACAUCUUGUUUAUUUACGAUAUUUUUUGGUAAAUAAAUCAAAACAAUUAUAUUCAUACGAUUUAUGAUCAUUUAUAUCUUGUUAUUACCAAAACAAGUUAAACCAUUAAUUACAAAAUUUUAGUGUAAGACAUUUAAUAUUUUUAGUAAUUUAUAGUCGUUUUAAAAAUUCAAAAUAUAACAUAUAAAAAACAUUUUAUUAUAUGGUUGAUGUGGUUGUUUAAUAUAUUUUAAUAAUAUAAAAUUAAACCAAAAAAAGCUAAGAUACAAAAAUUACUAUCAAAUAUUUAUAUUCAUAAUCAUUAAUUAUCAAUUUAAAAGUUAGUUUAAUAAAAAAUAUAAUAUAAAUUAAGAUGGACCGACCUAUUUCUCUAAGAAUUCUGAAUUUCAUUCUUAUGGUGACACGUGGCUACAAAACAAUGUUGUAAUGUUUCUCAAUUAAUAUAUAAGGGAUAUAGUUAAAAUAUUUCUUUUAAUAAAUUUAUUUUAAAAAAAAUAGCUAGUGGCAUGGUAUUGUAAUUAUCAUUGAAAACUAAAGGCAUAAUCUUAUUAGAAAUUCCGGUUUAAUAGUAUAAAUUUCAGUUUUAAGUUUAAUUUCCAUUAUUUUUAACUUGCCAAGGAACCCACGCGAUAACGCGUGGAAACUUAUUUUUAUAAAUAAAUAUAUGAUAUUAUAAUUUAUAUAUUGUAUAAAAAAUAAUUUUAUUAAAAGGAUUCCCAUGUCAAAACGUAGAACAUAUGUGUUUAUAUUUACUUAUUGAUAAUAUUAAAAAUGUAUAUUCUAUAAUUUUAAAUUACAACUAAAAUACAAAUAUAUCAAUCCUAAUAAAAUUAUACAUUUUUUUAUUAUUUUAGGUAAGUUACUCUAAAAUUUUAAAUUAUAUCAAUUUAUAAUAAAUAAAUAAAAUCUCUUUUUAAACAAAAAAAAUCUUUUCAAAUAAAAAAUGUAUCUUUUACGUUAGACGGUUGUGUUAUCAACGAAAAGUACGAACGACUCAUAACCUAAAAGGUACAAACACGUCUUAAACUAAGUGAUACAAACAUGAUGUGAUUCAAGAAGUAUGAACUUGGUCCAUGGGGUGGACGAAUGUACCUUGACCGAAGGUAUGAAUGUGUCAUUACCAAAAAGUGUAAAUGGUGUGAACGAAAUGGUGUAAAUUGAAAUUGAGAUCCAUAAGACAAAAAUUUUGGGCAUGGGUAAAAACAUGCAAAAUCUAAGAAAUAUUAAGAAAAUGAUAAACUCUAAUUUGGAUAGACUAUUUAUGUUGUCGAGAAAAGGUCAUACUCUUAUAUCAUCAGCACCAUGGUUGACCAUAAGACAAAAUAGUUUCCGGAUGGGUAAAAACAGGUAAAAUCUAAGAAAUAUUAAAAAAAAAGAUAUAUUAUAAUCUGGAUAGACUUUUUAUGUUGUCGAGAAAAGGUCAUACUCUAUAUCACCAGCACCAUGGUUGACCUUUAACAUUCUUUCAGUGAUGUCUCGUUCGCACUUUUUCAGUCACGAUCCAUUCUUACCUCUUCGGUCAUGAUUCAUUGACACUCCUUUGGAUACGACUCGUUUGCACCCUUUCAUUCACGAUCCAUUCACGUUCUUUCAGUUACGAUCCGUUCACACUCAUACGGUUAUGAUCCGUUUACUCCUUUUGGUCAUGACACGUUUGCACUUUUUUGUCACAACCCAUUUGCAAUCUUUCGGUCACGACCAUUUGCACCCUUUGGUCACAACCCGUUUGCAAUUUUUUGGCCACGAUUCAUUUGCAAUCUUUCGGUCACGACCAUUUGCAAUCUUUCAAACACGACCAUUUGCACCCUUUCGAUCAUAACCCAUUUGCACGUUUUCGGUCAUAACUCAUUUGCAUGCUUUCGGUCAUAACCCAUUUGUACCCUUUUUGUCAUGGUCAAGAUCCAUUCGCAUCCUUUCGGUCAUGAUUAAUUUCACAUCCUUUCGGUCAAGAACCGUUCGCACGCUUUCAUUUAUGACAGUUCAGAGAGUUUCGGUCACGGUCCUUUUGUACAUUUUCGGUCAUAAUACAUUCACACAUUUUCAGUCACAACACUUUCGCACCCCUUGGAUCAUGAUACAUUUGUAUCUCUUGGAUCAUAGCAUGUUCAUACCUCUUAGAUUAUGAUCCGUUCAUAUCUCUUAAAUUACAAAACAUUUAUACCUCUCUGUUGAUGACACUAUAUAAAUAUUUAUAAUUUUUAAUCAGUGUUAAUAUGAAAGUAAACUUAUAUGGAAUUGUUUUGCAUUUAUUAGUAUUGAGAUGAAAAUUUAUGUGUUUGUUUUUGGUUUUUACUUUACUCAUAUCUAUAUAUUAAUACUUCAUAAAUAUUAGUAUUUGUUUUAAAUAGACUUUUUAUGUUGGCCAAAAAAGAUCAUAUUAUUAUAUCACCAACAUCAUGGUUGACCUUUAGCAAUCUCUUGGUGAUGACUCGUUCGCACCAUUUAAGUCAAGACCCAUUCACACUCUUUCGGUAACAAAUCGUUCACACCCUUUUUUUGUCAUGACCCGUUUACACUUUUUCGGUCACAACCCAUUCGCAAUCUUUCGAUCACGACCAUUUGCACCCUUUGAUCACGACCUGUUUGCAAUUUUUCGGUCACAAUCCAUUUGUAACCUUUCGGUCACGAUCAUUUGCACCCUUUCGGUCAUAACCCAUUUGCACCAUUUUGGUCAUAGUCAAGAUCUGUUCUCACCCUUUCAGUCAAGAUUAAUUUCACAUCCUUUCGGUCUAGAUCCAUUCACACUUUUUCAUUUAUGAUCAUUGGCAGCCUUUCGGUUACGACCAUUUUGUAUAUUUUCGGUCAAAAAACAUUCACAUCCUUUCAGUUACAAAACGUUCAUACUCCUUGGAUCAUGAUAUGUUUGUACCUCUUGGAUCACAACACGUUAUACCUCUUAGAUUAUGAUGCGUUCAUAUCCUUAAAUCACAACACAUUUGUACCUCUUCGUUGAUGACACCACGUAAAUAUUUAUCAUUUUUUUAAUCAUUGUUAAUAUGAAAAUUGUGUCUCUUAAGUUUUUUUAUGAAAAGUUAUUUUUAUUAGUAAUGAAAUGAAAAUUUAUGUCUUUUUGUUUUUACUUUAUUCAUAUAUAUGAAUAGUCACAUCUUUCUAUAUAAAGGUGGUUAUUUUGAAAUGAUACUUAUAUGAAUAGUCACAACUUUUCAAUUUAAAUAGUCACAUCUUUUCAAAUUUAAAUGUAAUUAUUUUGAAAUUAUAGAAAUAUGAAUAGUCAAAACUUUUCAUUUAAAUAAUUACAUAUUUUACAAUUAAAUUCUGACUAAUGCACAACUCUUGAAACAAAUAACGAAAAGACACAACUUUAACAAGAAAUAAAAUUCCUAUAAAUAUACACAACUUUUCAACAUUGUUUGAGUUUUUCAUGUAAGACAUUUAAGAGAUGCAACUUUUAUGUAUAAAACUUAAGAGAUUCCAAUUUUCAUAUUAAUCAAUACACUGAUUUUUAGAAAUAAAACAAUUGCAAAUAUUUAUAAAAUAUUAAUAAACAGAUAUGAGAAAAAUAAAAACGAAAAAACAUAAUUUUCAUCUGAAUACUAAUAAAUACAACUUUUCAUAUAAAAAAUUAAGAGAUGCAACUUUCAUAUAGAUGAAUAGUCACAUUUUUUCCCAGUUUAAAGGUGGUUAUUUUGAAAUAAUACUUAUAUGAAUAGUCACAACUUUUCAAUUUAAAUAGUCACAUCUUUUCAAUUUAAAGGUAGUUAUUUUGAAAUGAUACAUAUAUGAAUAGUCACAAUUUUCAUGUAAAUAAUUAUAUCUUUUUAAUUUAAAUACUAACUAAUAUACAACUCUUGAAACGAAAUGACAUUUCUUAAUAUAUAAUGAAAAGACACAACUUUUAACAAGAAAUAAGAUUCAUAUAAAACACACAACUUUUCAACAUUGUUUGGGUUUGCUAUUAUUAAUUGUUUUUCUUCUUCACCAUUUUAUUUGAUUAGUGAAAAUUAUGCUUUGAGAAGACAUGGACAUUGGACUAUUUAUAGAUUUUUAAAAUUUUGUUUGAAGAGUCACAUCUUUUAAAUUAAAAGUUUGUGUCUUUUUGUAAUAAUACUUAUAUGAAGAGUCACAAAUUUUCAAUAUAAAUUGUCACACUCUUUCAAUAUAAAUAGUUAUUUUUAAAUAAAAAGACACAACUUUUAAUUGUUGAAAAGACACAUACUUUUAACAUAAGUGGAAUUCACAACCUUUUGAAUUAAUUGAGAUUGUUAUUAUUAGUAGAUUUUUAUAUAAACUAUAUAUAUAUAGAUAUUAUUUUUUAUUUGAACAUUUGAAAAGACUAGACAAAUUAAUUCUAGGCCAAUCUUACAAUGUGUUACUGUGUUUCAGAAUUUAAUGUUGAUGAAGAACUAGAAGCCAUGGGUAAGAAAAUGGUCACAUAUUGUGGAGGACUACCAUUAGCCGUUAAAGUGCUGGGAGGCUUGUUAGCUAAUAAAACCAUGGUUGAAGAGUGGAAAAGAGUAGAUGACAAUAUUCAAAGUCAGAUAGUUCGCAUAGAUGACAAAAGUCAAGAUUCUGUUUACCGAGUAUUGUCUAUGAGCUAUGAAGAUUUGCCAAUGCAGUUAAAGCAUUGUUUCCUCUACCUAGCUCAUUUUCCCGAAGAUGACAAGAUACAAGUGGAGAGAUUGUAUUAUUACUGGGAAGCAGAAGGAAUAAUAACGUCAAGUUGCGAUGGAGCAACCACUAGGAAAAUUGGAGAAGAAUACAUAGACGAGCUAGUAAGGAGAAAUAUGGUUAUUGGAGUAAAAGAGGAUUUGAGUUGCAAAUGGGAGUAUUGUCAAAUGCAUGACAUGAUGAGAGAAGUAUGUUUAUAUAAAGCCAAAGAAGAGAACUUUCUUCAGUUUAUCAAAGUCCCUACUACUUCCAC
rnacentral:lncRNA from 1 species